AGACACCUCCUGAACUCAUGAGACUUUGGACAAGCAACGAUUCUGAUGCAAGACAUUUUCGGAAUAAUAUAAGAUUUUUCAAUGGACACUUCUCAUUUACAUCUCUUUAUUGCCACCUAGACAGUGAGACCACUGACACGAAAAAAGCUGGUAUUUACACCUUUCGAGCUCAUGGCCAGAUGUAUCACAAUAUACAAUCAUUUGGAAAUAGUCGCUAUGAUCCAAAGCAUCUAGAGUUGUACUUCUACGAUGAUGAUCCAAGCCUAGAGCAUCGGUAUCGACGUUGCCGUGAAGAAAAGUACGAGCAAGACAAACAUGUAGUCACAAUUUUAACACAAAUUCUACGUGAAAACCCAUACUCUAAACAGUUUAGAAGUUUGGGACAGAAUGAAAAACUUGAUGACUACAGGCUGAUCUUGAACCUUGACCAAAGAUUAGACCAAAGAACAUACAAUGCACCAAUAACUUUAGAGGUAGCUGUAGUGUGGAUCAAGGGAAAUGAAAGAAGAAAUACCUUUGACAAGAAUGUAAUACUACAUGGAAACAACAACGAAAUACAAGGCAUCAAAUCAUACUAUGGCUGCUAUGAUCCAUUGUCUUAUCCUCUAUUCUUUCCAAGAGCUGAACUCGGUUGGCAUUCAAAUAUCCCAAGGGCCAAUACAAUAUUGGAAGAAUUGAGAAAUGAUAAUGUUGAUCGCAACAAUAGUGACAAUGACCCAGGUUAGAAUUUCAUAUACUUUUGUCUUCUAAAUUUAGUUUACUAAUAUGAAAAAACUAUAUAAAUAUUCCUCUAACUUUAGCGUUCCAAUUCUUACACAGAUUCAAGCAGUAAACUGUGGGUAACCAUGAGAGAAUAUUACUGCUAUAAAUUCCAUGCAAGACCAAGCAUAUUCAACCCAAUAUUGCAUGGUGGUAGACUUUUUCAGCAGUUUGCCGUUGAUACAUACAUCAAGAUUGAGAGCUCCAGAUUGGACUUCAUAUGGCAUUAUCAGAAAGAAAUAAGGGCAGAUCUAUACAAAGGCCUCCUGGAUAGCAUUCAAGAAGGAGAACAAAAGGGGGAUAAAGUAGGAAAAUGAACGGUGCUAGCAUCAUCAUUUAUUGGAGGGCCAAGAGAUAAAUUGUGACGAUAUCUAGAUGCUAUGGCUUUAGUACGCAAAUAUGGAAAGCCAGACAUAUUCCUAACAAUGACAUGCAACCCAAACUGGGAAGAGAUCACCCGAGAACUAGAGUUUUCACAAACACCUCAAGAUCGCCUAGAUCUCGUGGUUAGGGUUUUCAGGGCAAAACUAGAAGAAAUGAAGAAUCAAUUGUUUAAAAAGCACAUUCUUGGAAAGGUAAAGGCAUAUACCUAUGUUGUAGAGUUCCAAAAGAGAGGCCUACCUCAUGCACACUUCUUGCUGAUAAUGACCGGAAAAUACAAGUAUACAUGUCCAGAGCAAUAUGACAGAAUAAUCUAUGCCGAGCCGCCAGACAAGCACGAGUAUCCAGAUCUAUAUAAAAUGGUCAUCAAACAUAAGAUGCAUGGUCCUUGCGGCAUAUUAAAUAGAAAUUGCCCUUGCACAAAGAAUUGAGCAUCUUGCAAAAACAAUUAUCCAAGACCAUUUAAUGAAACUACAAUUCAAGGCAAGGACUCCUACCCAUUGUAUAGAAGAUGAAAUGACGGUCGCACCGAAACAGUCCAGAACUGUAAACUAGAUAAUAGAUGGGUUGUUCCUUACAACCCAUACCUAUUGCGCUUUUUCAACUGCCACAUGAAUGUUGAGGUAUGCUCAAGCAUUAAAGCCGUCAAGUAUCUGUUCAAAUACAUCUACAAGGGACAUGACCGGGCCUCUGUAUCUGUAACUGGAGCAGAUGCUGAAGGAGAAAUUGAUGAAAUUAGACAGUACAGAAACGCACGGUGGGUUACACCUCCAGAAUUAAGCAUGCAAGUGCUGAGAGCCGAUAUAUAUCUUUGACUCUAUUGGAAGUGUUUGAAGUGAGCAAUACAUCAUUUUAUAGAAAUCCAAUCCAUCCGAUCACAUUAAAAUUCAUGAGACAAGUCUCUCUGUCCCCGUUAAGUCAUAUAUGAAGGGUCAAAACAAACAGGUAUAAAAAACAUUGACUAGUACAUAAACCGUAUGUAUAAUUGGUGGUAGGUUUGCCGGUAUGUAAAAGUAAUAUUGUUUAUGCGGAUCUAUCUAUUUAUCCUAUAGUAAUCACAGAUGCUAUAGAAAAUCCCACGUUAACGAGAAAGAGAAAAUAUCUAGCCAUUGAUCCAUCGUGGCCCCCUUUUUUUAGCCGUUCAGAUUUAAAAAAGUACAAUUACUUAUUAGUUACUUGCAUUUGGUUAACUUUGCUAGGUUGUUCUAAGGAUAAUAGGUGCAAAUGGACGGUGGGGCCACUGGUGGACGUGCGUUCCUUGCCAGGGCAUGCCUACAUGAGAACUAAGGAAGACCGGCUGUGUGGACGUGGAGGAUGUGAUAUUACACGAUGCUGGAACAUGGACCGUUGCCAUGUUAAUCCUCUUGUACAAAUUAAAAUUCAUUACAAUUUUUAGGAAAAAUAUGUAUGAAUGUAUGAUCCGUUAGAGGAAAAGUGAAUAGGACGGACCAAAAUGUUGGAUCCUUUGUUGGAAAAAUGGUUUGAAUUUUGGCAAUGUAAGUAUUUCCUUGAUUUUGAGAGAGAGCCAAAUAGGAUUACAUUAUUUGUUAAUGUUCGUCUCAUAUUGAUUUUCAACCUUAAAAAAUGAUGCACUAUUUCAACUACAAUCACAUUAAACGAAACAUAAAAUUCGAUCCAUCUUGGCCUCUCGAGCUAUGUGAGUAGGAGAACAGCAUAGCAAAGAUAAACGAUCUAAUUAAUCUUCCUAGGAAGAGCUUUGAACUCUUGGAAACAACAAAAUAAAAUCAUUCAAUUCGAUUGGCAAAGUGACAAUACAUCAUCGGCACAAUGAUCAGAAAUAGCGAUUCUUGGUGAGGUACAAAUGUAUGAUCCAUUGUCGGGAAAGUAAAUAGGACGGACUAAACUUUUUGUCACAUAUUGAUUUUCAGCCACUAAAAAAAGCAAUGAGGUAAGAUAGUCAUUUGUUUCUAAAUACACAGUACAACAUAGUUAUUGUUUCUAGUCCGUUGCGGUGCGGUGGGAUAAGAAUAAAUAAUCACAUGACAAGACAUGGCAUGGGAGGCUAUGACGCAUCAUCAUGACUAGGGAAAACCAAAAGCACCAAGGAUGAUGAACAGAUUCUUGCCGAUGUCCCAUCACAGAGCAAAUAAAGCAGGAUAAAGGGGAUUGAUCUCGAACUNNNNNNNNNNNNNNNNNNNNNNNNNNNNNNNNNNNNNNNNNNNNNNNNNNNNNNNNNNNNNNNNNNNNNNNNNNNNNNNNNNNNNNNNNNNNNNNNNNNNNNNNNNNNNNNNNNNNNNNNNNNNNNNNNNNNNNNNNNNNNNNNNNNNNNNNNNNNNNNNNNNNNNNNNNNNNNNNNNNNNNNNNNNNNNNNNNNNNNNNNNNNNNNNNNNNNNNNNNNNNNNNNNNNNNNNNNNNNNNNNNNNNNNUGACGUGGUGGCGGCUCCACUUCUUCUGGUUCUCGCCCCUCAGGGGGUGGACCCAGGACGUGGUCCUUGACCUCAUUCAGGAUCCCCCAUCAAUGCCUCGUUCCGGGGUAGACAGGGCAUGCGAAGGUGUUGUCAGCGCGGCGAAAGACGUGUAGAGCAUCGCCUCGGGGGAAGGGCGUGUGGUAGCCGCGACGCCGGUUGUCAGAUGAGUCCGUCAGUUUGGGAGUCAGAGUUGAACCCAUCAGCUAGAAGGGUCACAAUCAGGGUCAACAUCUGAUGCGGUGACGAGGGCGUGAGGGUGGAGGAAGCCGCCCCCACCGUCGGAGGAGCCAUGGAACGCACCGCGGAGCCCACAAUAGCUCCGCAGCGACCAUCCACGAGUGACAGCAGGUUGAGGUUGGCGGCGUUGGAGAGCGAUCCCGACAACGAGCGCAAUGGCCACCUGAGGUCGCUGGCGUCAGAGUGGGAUACCGACGAGGAAGUGCCGCCGUAGCGGGACGACCCCACCGCGUGGACGUAGCGCCAUAGCGCUGCCGUGAAGUUGCGGGCAGUGGCGUGGCAGUAGCACAGCGACAACCCGCCACAGGAGCGCGACGACGAUGAGGAGGACCUUUAGUCCUGAAUGAUUAGUUUCGGUUGAUUUUUCGAGAGAUAGGAGGCUUACCAAGCAGAACUAAUGCUCAUAUUUUCCAAACUAAUGCUCAUAUUUCCACUAGUGAGUGCAAGGUUCCCUCCACGCAUAAGACGAUUUAUCCACCGUGGUUCCUAACCACGAGUAGAAAUGCACACAUUUACUAGGGGCGGUUCCUUAAGAGAAGUGUAUUUUCUAGGGGCAGUUCCUUAAGAUAAGUACCGAUAGAAAUCUGGUAGUGUUCAGGUACAAUGCGCGAAAGCAACUGCUAGUGACUGUAGAUAACGAUAUCCAUCGAUAGAAAUAAAGGCUAGUAUCACAUCUAAAAACUAGCUUUGAUAUUCAGCUCAGAUCCGUGCCUCUAACUUUUCGUGCUCAUUAUAUAAAUCAUAAAUUUCCUAAAAAAUUAACAGAAUCAUACAUAAAAAUCCAGAAUGUUUAUCAAAAGGUAAGAUUCAAAUCAGUGGUAGAUGUUCAGGAUUAACAACUUUCUUACUCCACAUAUUUUUGUUAGGUGAGGAGGCAUUGCAAGUUUGCAACUGUUGAAUGAAAUCCGUACUGCGAUGGAACUAGGAGGUAGUUGGUUUGAAGUAUAUACCAUUUAGAUAUCCAAUAAUCCUUCCUUUUAUUUCAAUAAAAAUAUUGGUUCCACGAUCAUCUAGGAGUAUGGUCUUGUACUCUCUUCUUGUUCGAGCUUUAUGUGAAUCCAACCCUAUGGAGCCACACCCCCAUCAAUGCCACGUGUCCCAAAUUGCUAAUCUCAACCAUCCCUUUCAUUUCUCACCCACUAACUAUACGGGAGUAAUGAGAAGUUAAAGGGACGAUUGAGAUAAGACAUGUGGCAUCCAUCAAGAUAGGGAUCCUACAUGGAACUGAAUUCAAUGCUUGAUAUCGAACCUGUCCUGAAGAUGAAAAGUUUCUCUAUAAAUUUAGACGUCCUAAACUUCAAUUCUUGUGCACACAGAAUAUACUCGCAGUCGUAGGCUCGUAGCUUAUAGACAAAUGACAUUGCAAGCAAUGGCGUUGCCCUACUUGCAAGAACUAGUCAUCUCCACACUUCUCGUUGUAUCAUUGUGCAUGUACAUUAAGUUCUGGAGGCUGAGAAACCCGUUGUACCCCAUGGACUGGCCGGUUGUGGGCAUGCUCCCUUCCAUCGUUGCCAAUCUCCACAACUUCCACGACGUACUCACUGUCUUCCUUGCCACCAACGGGUGUAACUUCAAGGCGCGAGGGCCGGUAGCAAGUGGCAUGCGGUUCUUCGUCACCGCUGAACCGGCAAACGUCCGGCACAUCUUCACCUCCAACCAUGCAAACUACCCCAAGGGCGAGGAUUUUGCUGAAAUCUUCGACAUCUUUAGCGGCACCCUCUUCACCAUUGAUGGUGAGGCCGGCCGCCAGCAGAGAGCCAUGUUCCAGAACAUCUUCAGCAAUCCACGGUUACUUGCCUUGAUGGCAAGUUGCUGCCGUGACAAGGUGGUGAACGAACUCCUCCCGUUCUUGACCCGCAUGGGGAGCACCAGGACAACGUUCGACAUGCAGGAUUUGAUCACAAGGUUGGUGUUCGACCUUACUGCCACGCCGAUCUUCGGUGUCGACCCGGGUUGCCUGUCCAUCAGCAUGCCGUCUAUCCAUGUUGCAACCGCCAUGGACACGUUCAUGGAGGUCGGCUUAUUCCGGCACACCAUGCCGGCUUGUUUCUGGAAGGUGAUGAGACGGCUAAACAUCGGUCCAGAGAGGAAGCUGGCCAUGGCGCAAACAGUGAUGCAUGCUUUCAUCAGGGAGAUGACUGAGAAGCCGAAAGCCAGGUGCGCCGAUCUCCUUGAUGAUGUGUUGGCCAUGGACAUUAUUUCUGCUAACCCAUCAGUGGGCAGAGACGAUGUCCUACAACGUAAUGUACUCAUCGGUUACAUGAUCGCCGGGCGGGACACGGUUGGUACCACGCUACCGUGGGUAUUCUACAACCUCGCCAGGAACCCCCGUGUGGUCUCUUGCAUCCGCAAGGAACUGGCACCCAUCGCAUCACUCAAGACCACUGCUCUCGCCUCCAAUAGCAUCAGCAGUAUGGUCGUCUUUGAUCCAAAGGAGACUGAACACCUAGUUUACCUUCAGGCAGCCUUAUUGGAGUCGCUCAGGUUGUACCCACCAGGCCCGAUCGAGCGCAAGGUGGUGCUAGCCGACGAUGUGCUCCCAAGUGGUCACCAGUUGUGCUCCGGUGAAACCAUCCUGAUCUCCAUCUAUGCCAUGGGUAGAAUGGAAUCCCUGUGGGGCAAGGAUUGCCAUGUGUACCGUCCGGAGAGGUGGCUGUCCGAGGACGGUGCUAAACUGCGUUACGUUCCGUCCAAUAAAUUCAUGGCGUUUAACACAGGGCCGAGGAUGUGCCUUGGCAAGGACAUAGCAAUUGCGCAGAUGAAGACCAUCGUUGCCGCGGUGGUGUGGAACUUUGAUAUGGAGGUGUUGGAAGGGCAGAGCAUCGAGCCAAAGCUGUCGUGCAUUCUUCAAUUGAAGAACGGGCUCAUGAUGAUGGUUAAGCAGAGAGAGUAAUCAAUGUGACAUGGAAUGAGCUAGGUGCAAUGCAACUACAGAUCGACUCAGUCCUGGCAUAUAUGGUUUGAACAAAAUAGUUAAAUCCAAACUUAUAAUGAAGUAAAUGGAAGCGUAACAUGUAUUUUCGUCAUUAAAUAAAGUCUACGGACGCCGUCGUCUGGCCAUCUGAAAGCUGGGAUCAUACCCAACUACAGACUCUUUGAUUUCAGUACUGAUAGUUUGUACUACUCCCUCUUUCUAAAUAAGUGAUGUUUUCAGAUUAUCUUAAGCUUAUUUGAAACUUUGAUGGCAUAUUAAUUGUUUUUCUAUGUGUAAAAGGUAUACGAGUAUAUUUAUGUUUAAUAGUAACUUCAUCAAAAGCAUCCGUUCACUUUAUGAAUAUUUUGUGACAAAAACUAGCCAUCACAGUUAUGUUUUUGAGGUAAUUUCAAUAUCAAAAACUUCAUUUAUGAGACCGGAGGAACUAACAUACAAAGACAAUGAAUGUAAAUACAAUAUGCCCUCCGGUGUCCUGGACUUCAUAAGUUGUAUCUGCAAUACUCAAGAGUGAAACGAAAGAGGGCGAUGUCAAUUUGAGUGUAUCUAAAGAGACUUAAAACAUUCAAAUGAUGAAUAUAAAUUGUAUCAAAUCAUAGUCCCUAUUAUACUUAUAUAAUUAGUACAAUUUAUUUAAGUUGGAACAUACUUUUUUUUUACCGUGUCUUGAUCCAAGUGCGCAUGUGGGUUUUGCAUGUUUUUCCUUGGUAGGAGGCACCUGACUAAUGCGGUGUCUGGAACCUUGGUUACUCCUUUUUAUUGAUUUCCUUCCUUAAGCUACCUGAGCACCCUAGAAUAGUGAUGGGCUGCCAAGGUAUUGGAUCAAAUGAAUUCAGACACCUCUAUGUAUUUAAGGUAUUGGUGUGAGUAGCGUGUAACGACUGAUUCUGUGCUGAGUCGUACCAACCAUAUCGAGGCUUUGUGCACGCUAGCUCAUUCAGGGUGAAAGUCUGCCCCGUCCGUACAUGAUAAGCUCGAGAGUCGAGACAUUGAUUCGGCAGCUGCCGUACGUGUAUGUCUUUGUCCUUCCAUUUGCUGUACGUGUACGUGCUCGUUCCGUUGGUGCUGUGGACGGAGAGCGGCUACUUAGGCAUGGACUUCUGCCGAAUCCGCAUGAUGGACAACGUCAACCAGGCCCUCGACGCCGCCUUGCCCCCGCCUUGCCCCGCGAUGAUUAGGUAGAUCGGAGGAUGUUUUUCUCGUGUUUUACCGUUGCAUUUGGUAGAUCGGAGGAUGUUUUUCUCGUGUUUUACCGUUGCAUUUGGUAGAUCGGAGGAUGUUUAGGUGACUUAGGGUUAGGUAGAUGAUUUCAAUUUUGAAUGAAAUGCAAUGGUGUUUUGUGUUAGAUGAUACGUAGUUCAGACGCAAUUGAGUCGCUGCCCGCGAUAUUGACAUGUAGAACUUGUCGAUUUAGGUAUAUAUUCAUUGAAUUGUGUAGUUGAUAUGACAUGUAUAUUUUUUGUUUGCAAUUUGUCCAAUAUGUGUAAUGUGUCUAGUUGAUAUGUCGAAUAUGUGCAAUGAGUAGUGUAUAUGACAUGGUGAAAUGUUUGUAUUUUGUAGAUGGAUCGUUUAGUUCGAUUUUUUGAUGGUGGUGUUGUGAAACAAAAUGGGGAGUUAGAGAAUAUGAAUGAAUCAAUUGAAUUCUUCGAGGGUCCUCCAAGUUUUAGUGAUUUAGUUGACCGUGUAAUGAGGAAGUAUGGAUGUAGAGUGGAUGAGAUCAGUUUGAGAGGUCGUUUUGAUUGUGGGAAAGCUAGAGCUCAUUAUGUUCUCAUGAAGUUAGCAUCCGAUGCGAAUUGGAAGCACUAUAAGGAUGUAGUUCACGAAGCUAAUGUUGCAUGUUUGGAGGUUAUAGUCGAAAUUGUUCGUAUGCCUGACCCAAAUGUUGUCAUGAGGGAGGAAGUGGCAGUAGUGAACCAUAAUGGUACCUAGGAGUCAGAAAUGUUGCAUCACGUGUUAGGUGAAACAGAACGUGAUUUUGACUUGGCUAUUGCCAAUGAUGAUUUUCCCAAUAACGUUUUUGAGAGGGAUGAAGCAAAUAUAGAUGUCGAUAAUAUCUCUAUGGGUUCUGAAGAUUGUGAAUUCGAGGAAGAUGGGGUAGUAGAUGUCGAUAAUAUCUCUAUGGUGAGAGUCCAGUGAUUAAGAAGGGGAUGAAGUUCAAUAGUCUUGAGGAAUUGAAGUUUUUCUUGGCUGACUACGCAGUGAGGUUACAUAGACCUUUUAGCAUAGUUCACUCUAACAAGAACUUAAGAUACAAUGUGAUGUGCAAGCAAGGAUGCCAUUGGCGUGUAUGGUCUCGGCUAAUAUCAAGCACCGGAUAAUGGAGAAUUUCAAAUGUUGUGUAACCGCAUACUUGUCGGUCGUCACAGCCAAAAUGAGAGCAUGUACAGUGCACAGCAAAGUACCUUGGGCGGCGUAUCCUAGGCAUUAUCCGUAAAGACAGCGAGACAUCGGUGCCAUCCCUCGUGAAGUCCAUCUUCGCCUUUAGUGGGUACCGUGUGAAGUAUUCGAAGGCUUGGCGGGCGAAGCAACACGCCGUUGCCCUGCUUUGGGGCGACUGGAAGGAGUCGUACGGCAUGGUUCCUAGGGUACUCUCAGCUAUAACCUACUACAAUCCCGGGGUUAAAUGGUGCAUCGACUCAUGUGGCAUGAUGCAUCCUGACAAUGGAGUUUUGAAGCAUAUACUGCAAAGGGUAUUUUGGUGCUUCCCUCAAUGUAGUGAGGCAUUUCAACAUUGCCGUCCUGUGAUACUUGUGGAUGGUACAUUCUUGACUGGCAAGUAUAAUGGUACAUUAAUGAUGGCAGUUGGUGUAGAUCCAAAAUAGUAGCUUGUGCCUCUUGCUUUUUCCUUGGCCGAGAGUGAGAAUAAUGAGAGUUGGUCAUGGUUUAUGAAACUUGUUCGGCGACAUGUUCUUGGACCUUUACGGAUAGUGUGUAUGAUAUCAGAUAGGCAUCAUGGGCUCCUAAAUUGUACGAAGGACCACAUGGAUGGUUUUCCACCGCUUGUGCAUAGGUGGUGCACGAGGCACUUUGCUGCCAACAUGUCGCGUCGGCAGAAGAGCAACCGUGUGAUUGGAAAAUUGAAGAUAUUAUGCAAGGUUCAUACGGAGAGAGAAUUUAGUGAGAAGUUAGAAGAUCUAGUGAAGGACUUGAACGAUGACGCAAAAGAAUGGUUGAAGGGUGAAAUGGAGGACAAGGAUAAAUGGGCGUAGGCUUUCGAUGAGGGAGGGAUGCGUUGGGGUAUUAUGACCACGAACUACUCGGAAUCACUCAACGCAGUUUUCAAAGGCAUCCGAAGUAGGCCCGUCUCUGGAAUUAUUGAAUACUCAUUCGAAAAAUGCAACGCCUACUUUGUGGACCGAUAGCAAAAGGCACGUGCAAUGUUGGAUGAAGGCUAUAGAAUUGGGAAAGUUGCAGAUGAUUAUUUAUUAGAGGCUGAGCUUAGAUCCGUGCACCACUUAGUAGAACCGUACGGGCCAGAAAGGAUGGUGUAUUCUAUAAGAAGUUACGGUACGACUAACAUUGGGGGUGAGAGUCAUGGAGGCCGACACUACAGAGUGGAUCUGAAUGAAGUUUCGUGCACCUGCAAUGUUCCACAAUUGUUGCACCUUCCAUGUUCACACUUCAUUACAGCUUGCAAGGCAAGAGGUCUUAACUAUGAAAGCCCCUUGUACAUGUCACCGUUGUACUCUAGGGAGCACACCGUACAAAUAUGGGAAUCAAGCUUUCAACCUUACCUUGAUCCGUCACAAUGGCCGGCAUAUGAAGGGGUAGGGUACGUGCCUAACCCCAAUUUGAUGAGAAAUAAAGUAGGAAGGAGGCAGAAGAAGCAUUUCACAGGCGACAUGGACGUGUCGGAAGGGAGGUUUUCUGCAGAUUAUGGCACUGGUGAUUUUGAUGUGGACAAGUCGGAAAAUCGUUGCUCGAAGUGCCCCAAGAUCAUUAGGAAUUACACGUGCCGCAAUAGAAAAUCUAAAGGCACGAAAUCUAGGGGGAACAGUAAUAGGCCGCGUUCUUCGAACAAUAGGGUAUGCGCGUUGCUCGUAUUUUGCAUGGUUAUCAUUUUAUCUUUUUUUAUAGUAGUAAAUUAUGAUAGUUACCGUACUUAUCAUAUAAUAAAGCUUUUUACUAAUGAUCUUGUUUGUUGUUUCUUUAGGAUGGCGGCCCUGGCGUACCCUCUUCUUGAGUCGGCUUACGGCUUGCAGCACCGUGCCCACCACCUCGCGGACCUAAAUGAGGUACUACAUCAGUUAUUAACAAUGGUUGGUAAUUUAUGCUAAUGAAUGCAUACCUUAGGAUGAUAAUUGCAAGAUUUUUGUAUGAAAUGUUCUUACAAAUUGAGGAUGUGCCUGUCGUUACUAUUUGCUUGUGUACAAUGUAAACAAUUUCAUACUGGAAAUGUCAUUUAUAUCAUAUUUGUGUUACUUACCACUUUAGUAGCCCUUUAUUCUCAAAUGCAUUGACUUCUCAUUUUUGUAAUAAUCUUAUAAUGUUUUGCAGGAUUUGAAACCACUCGGGGCUAAAGUGCACUCACCACUUAGGUGGGAUGAGCGGUACGCGGAGUACUUGCAGAGAGCUGGUUUUUUGGAUCUCGCUGUUCAGGUUGUCGCGGGUCUCCCUCCAAUGGACGGACCGCUGUUGACCUCUAUGGUCGACAGGUGGCGUCCAGAGACUCACACGUUCCACCUCCCGUUCGGAGAGAUGACCAUCACAAUGCAGGAUGUCGCUAUGAUACUCGGUCUUCCACUGGAUGGGCAGCUAGUGACGGGAAUUAUACAGAAUGAGAAUUGGCAUGAUAUGGUUGAAAUGCAUAUUGGGAUUAGGCCACCAGAGCCAGAGGACGGAGACAACUCCAAGAAGACCUCCGGUGUCAGCUCGGCAUGGUUGAGGGAGCACUUCAACGUUUGUCCUCCGGGAGCAAAUGACGGGGUUCUGCAGUGAUAUGCUUGAGUUUGGCUAUGGCACUUUGUCAGCACAUUCCUCCUUCCAGAUGCAGCUGGGAAUACAGUGUCUUGGAUGGUUCUCCCCAUUUUGGGUCAGCAUUGGGACAACAUAGCCCUUUAUAGUUGGGGCUCAGCGGUUCUUGUCUGGCUGUACAGGCAGCUAUGUGAGGCUUACAGGCGCACCGCGAGGGAUUCCAAUGUUGGAGGGUGCACCUAUAUGCUGCAGAUUUGGAUUUGGGAGCGAAUGCCUGUGGGUUGACCUUCCCGUCUUCGUGUCGAUGUAAGUCACAAUGGCUAAUUCCCUUUUCUGCUUUAAUGUUCGGAAAACUGUUGUAUCAUGUGACCAAUUGGACUUGCAAUUUCAGCCAUGGCAUCGAGACGAUGCUCAUCCCACAUUCUACCAUGUGUGGAAGCAUGUGCGGCCCGUUCGUGGUAAUGCUGAUAGGCGCUACAGGGCCUACACAAACGAGUUUGAUGUUGUCACGCAGUACCAGGUAAUUUGCUCACCAGAGUUUGUUAAGCUCACUUCCGUAUAAUGAUAGAUGAAAUAAGUAUUGUGUAAAAAUUUUUGAGGGUUGAAUGGAAACCGUACGACCGUGAGCAGCUAAGCCACAUCAUAUUUUCACCGAUGUGCUACAGAGACAGAGAGCUGUGGAGGUGCACGACGCCAAUGAUAUUGUACUACGUCGUAGAGUUUCAUAUGCUGCAUAGGGUGAUGCGGCAGUUUGGGAGGAUGCAACCGUGCCCUCCUUUGGAAUUAUCGACUUCGCAGCAGCUGCACAAGUAUGCAGGAAUAAAUAACUAUUGGAGGUUAUUCGAUACACGAACUGAACAUGUUAUACUAAUACUUCACUAAUCUCUGAUGCAGGAUCGACCGCAGAAAGAGGUAUAAGGAGAAUGAUUGGAGGGUGAAGUAUGGUCAGUACCUCGUCAUGUGGGAGAAUAAGCAAGGAUGCGAUCCUGAAGGUGGACUGGCGACCAGGACCAAACAAUGAGUACAUACGAUGGUAUUGUACAUCGACGAGAACUAAAGUGAAACCAUUUUGGAGUAAUGUGCCCAUUGAGGAUGCACCGUUUGACUCAGACGCCGACAUAGCUGAUGCGUAUGACACGGUGACACGCUAUGGGACACAGCCUGAGCGUGCACCUCUCCACGACUACAUGGUAAGAUUUCGGUUUGUAAUCAUAGUAUCGUAACAUUGAUCACUCAUGGAAUGAAAACUAUGCGUACAGGGACAGCAGCUUGCAAGGCUCUCAAACAAGGCGGGUGUGGUUAUGGAGCACGCCGUCGGAUCCGGUGAUGGUCUGCUUCGUCAGUUUGCAGAGGUAGAAGCCCAACCUAAUUUUCACUUAUACUCGUACUACCUUUGUAACCCUAUCAAUAUCAUAGUCGUGAAUAUAUGCUGCUUACAUGUUGCAGAGGAUUCGGAAAAGCUGCAGGCGAAUGGCCAUGAGGAUGAACUGCAUGUCGUCCUCAGAUGUGCACCACGGGGGCAAUGGCCAGGGUACUUCUUCGGGAUCACGUCGGACUCCAUUGGCGACUCCCCCCAAGGCUGCAACACCGUCCACUGCUGCAGGUCCUAGCAGGAGAUCCGAGGCAAGAAACCCGCAUCCCCUCAGGCAAGCGAGGACUCUGAAGGUGAGCAGUCUGAGGAUGACGACCCUACAUAUGGUGAGGAACUGGAGAUUUCCGGCAUGAUCGAUGCUCCACCUGUGACUCAGACACAGGGUGAGUCCAGCCAGGUACAUUCACAAGUUUCCCCAAAUUCAAUUCUAGAUUGUUAAUGUUCACUCCCGAAGUGUCAUACAAAUUUUAUGCUUUGUGCCCAAUUAUUCCAUAGGAACCUGCACCUCCUACCCGGAUGCCACGCCGGCGGCGUCUUUCCCGGGACCAUACCGACGUUGGCAGCGCCAAUGUGCUGCCCACGCAUCCAAGGAGGGAGCGUCGCCCAAGAGAUCCUUUUAGCCCUCCGGUUGAGCGGCGGUCAUGACACUGAACGUUACAUAUCUCAAGUGUGAUGCACUAGGUGUGCAAUUUAUGUUAUAUGUGUGUGCAAGACUAUUGGAACUGUCACGUGUGUAAAAGACUAAGUUGGUUGUUAGGUUUAUUUCUGUCACGUGUGUAAAAGACUAAGUUGGAUGUUAGGUUUAUUUCUGUCCGUAUAAUGUUAUAUGUUUGCUCCAUGACAUACUUGUGUUUCGUGUAUUUUUUCGUAAAUGUUCGCACUGGUAGGCUAUCGCGUACUAGACGAGAUACGGAAUAAUUUCGUGGUUCAAACUAGUUUAAGAAAAAUCAGAACAAAAAAAGCUAUUUAAGUUUCAUCAGCCGGAUUGCUGGGGCAGCUGAGUCGGCGGUAGUCUAGCAGCCCAGAAACCUACUGAAACUUUAAUGGAUUUGGCACGGGAGGGCACCCCUGCCGCCCCAGGCGGAGUGGCGCGGCAGCCCCCAUCCACCAAAACCUACUGAAAACUUUGUGCAAAUGGCGCGGCAGCGCACUCCUACCGCGCCACUCCGCUUGGCACGGCAAGCCCCCCCCCCCAAAAAAAAAACCUACUCAAACUUUGUUUCGCUUGGCGCGGCAGCGCACUCCUGCCGCGCUAGGCGGAGUGGCGCGGCAAGGCCCGCCCCCCCCGAACCUACUGAAACUUUGCUGCGUUUGGCGCGGCACCCCAACUUUGCCGCGCCACUCCGCCUGGGGCGGCAGCGGCAUUCCUGCCGUGCCACUUCCCUUGGCGCGGCAAGCCCCUCCACCCCCCGACACCUACUGAAACUUUGUUUCGGUUUGCGUGGCAGUGCACUACUGUCGCGUCACUCUGCGUGGUGCGGCAAGCCCCCACCCCACGAAACCCUACUGAAUCAUGAGGAUAGUAUUUUAUCAUGGUGUUGGAGUCCUAGUUUUCAUGGAUUCCUUUUUUUUACCGGGGUCGACCCUAAAGCCAUAAUGUCUCAAAACGCAGAGGGUAUAGAGAAACUUUUCUUUUUUCCUUUGUCUCGAACUUCGUGAAGAACUCCAUUCUAUAUCUCCAACAAAAAAGUAGGGUUGCGCCCCAGUUGUACACUCCCUUCGUUCGGAGAACCCUUAUUGAUUCUGAACUUUGUUCGCAAAGUAAGCAUCCUUUUAACGGGCCAGCCCUUUUUAAUGCGCCGCUUGACCCAGUUUUGAAAAUGAGCUUUGCUCUUCUGGGCGCCCCAACGUAUCCAGGCCAAAUCCCAACCGGCUUGGGUCGGAUAAAAAAUGCUCAAAUAUACCCAAAAAUGCUCGGAUAUACCCUACGCUCUAUCGGACCCUACCAGUAAUUAUAGAAAGAGUAUUGUCUUUUUUUAAAUAUUACAGUACUUCUUCACAAGUUUUUGUUCAAUCUUAAUUUUGAUCGAAGCUACUACUGUUUCUUUGACACUCUAGCGCUAACUACUAGCUCGGAGAGGAAACUUUGAUGCGUUUGGACAUAGUUCUCUCACAAAUGAAAAUUGUUUUUGACAACUAAUCGUAGUUCUCAGAAUAAACAUAAACAUAGUUUUCUCAUAAAUGAACAUAGUUUUCACAACUAAAGAGAAACAUGAUUCAGCAAAAUUAACACGUUCAUCUAGUCCAAGUCACCUUCAUAUAGUAACUCAUCAUCAUCAUCAUCCUCGGCAACAACAACUCCCUUCCCUUUCUUAUCGACAUUAACCUUACCAACAGGUAAAUCGGCAACAAGAGCCUUCAUCGUCUCCAUCUGUGCCUCUUCCGCUUUUUGUUGUAACUCUUCCAUUUCAAUCCUUCUCUUUCUUACCCUAACCUGCUGCAAAUAUUCUUCCCAUGAACCCUUAGGGUAUUUCGCAUUCGGAUCAACCACAUAACCUAAGCGAUCUCUUUCCUCCCUCAACCUUUGUUUCUCCAACUCCCUCUCCUCCUGCAACUUCCUCCUAUUUUCACUCUUCUCAUUUUCAGUUAGAGGUCGUGGAUACUUGGAUCUAUUCUGCCUCCAAUACUUAAUAAUAGUUUCCCUCGCAUAAAGUCCUUCAGGCUCCACUCCAGUCUCAUGCACCAUAUCUUGAUAUAUUUUCCCCCGAAGCAAGUCGUUGUCAGGGAUAGGCACAUCAUACUCCUUCCUAAUCUUUUCUUUAAGUUCUUGUUGUUUCCUUGACUUCCAUGGUUCCGAUGUAUUACCCAACUUUAAUAACAAAUCACAACGACCAGAAAAAUCUUCCCAAUCACAUGUCCUUCCCUCCUGCAACAACAAUUUCAUAUUCUUACAAAUUUGAAACAAGUUCCAACCUUAAUAACACACAAGAGACGAGUAGUUACUAACCCAGUAAUCGCCAUGUGCAUUUCCACAGAACGAACCAUAUCCAAGUUCAGAAGGCACCACACCUUGUGUUGCCAAUAUACCACACUUGCAUCUAUCACUAGGAGAGGACACACAUGGCCACGGUGCCUUUCCACUCUCGAACUCCAGCACUUGCUCCUCCGUUGGCCACAUUGCCAUUGGGCCGUAUAUAUACUCAUUGAAAUCACACAACGGCCACCCAUCCUGCAAAAAAAUGGUGACGUGAACUACUCAUACGUAAAGUAGCUAGAAAACGCUGCUCCAACUUCCAAGCAAUAACAUCAAGUAAAAGUAUGAACAAUAUACUGCAAAAUUAUAACUGCUAGCUACAUGACAUACUAAUAUUCUCAUAAUAAACUUACAUGAGUCUUUAGCGAGCAUCGAAAGAAUGGAGUAAACUUAGGUGGAUCCUCUAAGUUAGGACGCAUAAGCUUAGCAGGAACACCACACUUGCACAUGGGAGGAUCCCUCACACGCCUACAAGCAGCCUCCUGCUUCUCCUCCUCGGUCAUCCUAGGUGGGUUUGGUGGAGGAGGAACCCAACGCCUAAAGUGAUGGUAUGGUUUAAGCUCUGUGCUAUGAUAUGGGAAUAGGCGGAUCCUAGGAUCAUAUUUGUCGGGUCCAUCAAUCUACUGAAAGAAAUCACAAGGUGCGGCAGGCAUUGGAUCAAAAGUCCACUUGCAUACAUAGAAGGCUCUUCCGGCUGUCUUUGGAUGACUUGAUUGUUUCACCUCUGCUUGCACGCCACAUCUACAAAGAGGUACCGGAAGGGCAGGAGGUACGGGACCAGCACCAUUGGACUCGCCCACAUACGGACAUACCACCUACGCCGCUUGUAUUCACAACCAAACGACGUCAUCUCACCUAGACAUCAAGUGCUACAAAAUUAAUACACAAAUAAACUUUACACACGUAAUCCAAACGAGCUAUAUACAUCAUUUCGAUAAAAUGUAAACACUCCAUCUACAAAAUACAAACUCUGAAACAUAUCAACUAUAGCAACUAUAUUAAGGAACAAAAAUAUGAGACAAAUUAAUUGAACAUAUAAAAAAAUACAUGUCAUGUAAACCACACAAUUCGAUGAGUAUAUACCUAUAUCGAAAUAUUCAACAAGUUCUACACAUCAAUAUCGCGGGCAGAGACUCAAUUGCGUCUGAACUACGUAUCAUCUAACACAAAAUACCAUUGCAUUUCAUUCAAAAUUGAAAUCAUCAACCUAACCCUAAGUCACCUAAACAUCCUCCGAUCUACCAAAUGCAACGGUAAAACACGAGAAAAAGUAUGGGGAUACCUUCCACACGGAGCAGGGAUCGAUUUCCACCACUUACCCCCACCAAAAUCGCCGAAUUUUGGGUGGAUUUGGGGGUGGUGCGGCGGGGGGCGGCGCAACAAGCUAGGGGCGCUGGUCUGUCCGGAGGAGGAAGAAAGGAGGGAGGGAGGAGGAAGGGAGCCAGCGCGCUGCUGUAGCGUAGGCUCUGCCGCGCCAUGCGGGCUGGCGCGGCAAGUGCCCGCCCACGUCAGCGUGCACCUGGCGCGGCGAGUCACCGCGCGAGCGUGGUAGGGGCCCGUCGCGCCAGUGCAUGCGGCGCGGCAGAGGCUACCUGCCGCGCCAGGCGGUCUGGCGCGGCCAAAAGGGUUAUCUGCCGCAAAUAUAGUCCCGCGGAGGUUAUUUUUAAAAUAAAUAAAAAAAGGUUAAAAAUAAAAAAAAGAGAACAAAAAGAAUCAAGUCAGAUUACGGAGAGGUUCGAAUGACUUAAUUUAUUAAAGGACCACUUCACUGGACGGAUCUCCUAAUAUCCAACCUAAUUUUAAUUAUGAAAUAAUUGAAGCAUAUCGAUCUGUCAUGAACAACAAUUAUAUCAGGAUUGAAUUAGCAGUCACUGUUGAAAUUGCAAAUGACCAUCAACCAAACCUUCUUAUUAUAAGAUAACAGUAGUAAAACUGGCUUCUUUUUUCUUGUCUGUAAGACGCUCUACUCGUGUAUCAUCAUAAGAAAAAAAUCCUAAGAAUGGUAGUGAAGAUGAGCAGUAGUACCAGAGGUCGAUUUACCUAUUUGAUAGCCCUUUGCCACCUGUAGAGCUCUAGUAAACUGAUUGUUUCCUUCUGUGUUUCAUCCUGGGCAACAACAGGAAAAUUGUCAAAGGAUCAUAAAUAAAAACAAACACACAAUGCAUGUUGUUAAUAUUACUAUUGGAAAACUAAAAAAAUGUCAAGCAGUAGUAAUUUCAAGUGCCAACAGCAGGAAAAUUGUCAAAGGAUGAUAAAUAAAAACAAACACACAAUGCAUGUUGUUAAUAUUAAACUCUAAAUCUUUGGAUUUCAUCCCAUCAUCUUGACUUUCCAAUAUCACAACAUCAUUUGAAUUUUCUUCAGUGACAUGAUUUUGUACAGAAUUGAUACCAAUUUCUGCUGUGUUUGUUUUUCUCAUGUAGUGGAGUCACAAUCACAAGUCAUUGAUGCAAAUGAAAAGAGAAGGAAAAGAGAUAGAGAGCGUUAUGCCAAAAUUACAGAUGAAGAAAAGCAUGAUAAACUGAAAAAACAACAUGAAGCCUAUCAUAGAAGGAAAGGUAGAGAUGCAACACAGUACCAAAAAAAAUACACAAAAGAGAGACAGAAAUAUGCAAAUAUGCAGCUAGAACAAAAGAAAGCUAGAAUAGAACAAGCCAUAACUAACCGUGAAAUGAGGAGCAGCAAAACAACGAAAGGUUCAAUUGCAAUAGAGAAUCCUGCAUAUAUUGAAACAAAUAUGUUAGUUGAAGUCAAUACAUCUAGCCUUAAUGUUAAACACAGGAAACAUGUGACGCCAGGAGAAAGGCAAACAUUGCUAGCCCGUCAAAAUAAAAAAAUCAUAAAAAAACAAAAGGGGACAGUUUAUUCAUCAUCAGAAGAAGAUGAAACCAUGAGCGAAGAGGACAAUGACAUAGAAAUGCAAAAACAGGCAAAAAUCAUGAAUCUCGGUAAUAUUCUAAAUUCUAUACAAAACUUUCGCAUUUCAAUACAAUAUAUGCAAUACUUUAAAAUUUGAAUAGACUACAUACAUCCAUAUAUUAUACUAACAAUCUCAAUCAAACAGAAAUACCCUCUUCAGUAUGGACAACCAUAGAAGGCAUUGAUGCCCCAAAACAACUAACAAAUGAUAAAGAUAAGGGUAAGGUUAUCAACUCCAAAGUAUAAAUUCUCACAUGAUACAAAAGAAACAAAAAUAUGUAUUCACAAAAAUCUGUACAGAUAAUGAUGGAGUGAUAUUUGAACAAGACACGAACGAGGAUGAUUACAUGUUCUCAUGUCAAGGUAUGCUUCAAUACUUUAAAAAAAAUCCUUCCAUCAUUAUGUUAAUACUUUCCUAAAAAAUUUUAUAUAAAAAAAAUUCAACAAAAUUGGACACAGAUGUGGAUAUCGAAAUCAGAGAAGACGAAGAAACUACUACAAAGAUCUCAAAUCCAUAUGACAUUGUCUACAACAACGUACUAGACGACACAAACAUGCUGAAAAAUAAAAAAAUUUGCAUAUACUGUAAUGCAAAGAAAUUUGAGUAUGAAUCUGAGGGGUUAUGAUGCAGAAAACGACAUAUUAGAUUAGCCAAUCAAGAGACACCUCCUGAACUCAUGAGACUUUGGACAAGCAACGAUUCUGAUGCAAGACAUUUUUGGAACAAUAUAAGAUUUUUCAAUGGACACUUCUCAUUUACAUCUCUUUAUUGCCACCUAGACAGUGCGACCACUGACAUGAAAAAAGCUGGUAUUUACACCUUUCGAGCUCAUGGCCAGAUGUAUCACGAUAUACAAUCAUUUGGAAAUAGUUGCUCAGAUCCAAAGCAUCUAGAGUUGUACUUCUACGAUGAUGAUCCAAGCCUAGAGCAUCAGUAUCGAUGCUGCCGUGAAGAAAAGUACAAGCAAGACAAACAUGUAGUCACAAUUUUAACACAAAUUCUACGUGAAAACCCAUAAUCUAAACAGUUUAGAAGUUUGGGACAGAAUGAAAAACUUGAUGACUACAGGCUGAUCUUGAACCUUGACCAAAGAUUAGACCAAAAACCAUACAAUGCACCAAUAACUUUAGAGGUAGCUGUAGUGUGGAUCAAGGGAAAUGAAAGAAGAAAUACCUUUGACAAGAAUGUAAUACUACAUGGAAACAACAACGAAAUACAAGGCAUCAAAUCAUACUAUGGCUGCUAUGAUCCAUUAUCUUAUCCUCUAUUCUUUCCAAGAGCUGAACUCGGUUGGCAUUGAAAUAUCCCAAGGGCCAAUACAAUAUUGGAAGAAUUGAGAAAUGAUAAUGUUGAUCGCAACAAUAGUGACAACGACCCAGGUUAGAAUUUCAUAUACUUUUGUCUUCUAAAUUUAGUUUACUAAUAUGAAACAACUACAUAAAUAUUCCUCUAACUUUAGCGUUCCAAUUCUUACACAGAUUCAAGCAGUAAGCUGUGGGUAACCAUGAGAGAAUAUUACUGCUAUAAAUUCCAUGCAAGACCAAGCAUAUUCAACCCAAUAUUGCAUGGUGGUAGACUUUUUCAGCAGUUUGCCGUUGAUUCAUACAUCAAGAUUGAGAGCUCCAGAUUGGACUUCAUAUGGCAUCAUCAGAAAGAAAUAAGGGCAGAUCUAUACAAAGGCCUCCUGGAUAGCAUUCAAGAAGGAGAACAAAAGGGAGAUAAAGUAGGAAAACGAACGGUGCUAGCAUCAUCAUUUAUUGGAGGGCCAAGAGAUAAAUUGCGACGAUAUCUAGAUGCUAUGGCUUUAGUAAGCAAAUAUGGAAAGCCAGACAUAUUCCUAACAAUGACCUGCAACCCAAACUGGGAAGAGAUCACCCGAGAACUAGAGUUUGCACAAACUCCUCAAGAUCCCCCAGAUCUCGUGGUUAGGGUUUUCGGGGCAAAACUAGAAGAAAUGAAGAAUCAAUUGUUUAAAAAGCACAUUCUUGGAAAGGUAAAGGCAUAUACCUAUGUUGUAGAGUUCCAAAAGAGAGGCCUACCUCAUGCACACUUUUUGCUGAUAAUGACCGGAAAAUACAAGUAUACAUGUCCAGAGCAAUAUGACAGAAUAAUCUAUGCCGAGCUGCCAGACAAGCACGAGUAUCCAGAUCUAUAUAAAAUGGUCAUCAAACAUAUGAUGCAUGGUCCUUGCGGCAUAUUAAACAGAAAUUGCCCUGCACAAAGAAUCGAGCAUCUUGCAAACACAAUUAUCCAAGACCAUUUAAUGAAACUACAAUUCAAGGCAAGGACUCCUACCCAUGGUAUAGAAGAAGAAAUGACGGUCGCACUGAAACAGUCCGGAACUGUAAACUAGAUAACAGAUGGGUUGUUCCUUACAACCCAUACCUAUUGCACUUUUUCAACUGCCACAUAAAUGUUGAUGUAUGCUCAAGCAUUAGAGCCGUUAAGUAUCUGUUCAAAUACAUCUACAAGGGACAUGACCGGGCCUCUGUAUCUGUAACUGGAGCAGAUGAUGAAGGAGAAAUUGAUGAAAUUAGAUAGUACAGAAACGCACGGUGGGUUACACCUCCAGAAUUAAGCAUGCAAGUGCUGAGAGCCGAUAUAUAUCUUUGACUCUAUUGGAAGUGUUUGAAGUGAGCAAUACAUCAUUUUAUAUAAAUCCAAUCCAUUUGAUCACAUUAAAAUUCAUGAGACAAGUCUCUCUGUCCCCGUUAAGUCAUAUAUGAAGGGUCAAAACAAACUGGUAUAAAAAGCAUGUACAUAAACCGUAUGUAUAAUUGGUGGUAGGUUUGCCGGUAUGUAAAAGUUAUAUUGUUUAUGCGGAUCUAUCUAUUUAUACCUAUAGUAAUCACAGAUGCUCUAGAAAAUCCCACGUCAACGAGAAAGAGAAAAUAUCUAGCCAUUGAUCCAUCGUGGCCCCCUUUUUUUAGCCGUUCAGAUUUAAAAAAGUACAAUUAGUUAUUAGUUACUUGCAUUUGGUUAACUUUGCUAGGUUGUUCUAAGGAUAAUAGGUGCAAAUGGACAGUGGGGCCACUGGUGGACGUGCGUUCCUUGACAGAGCAUGCCUACACGAGAACUAAGGAAGACCGGCUGUGUGGACGUGGAGGAUGUGAUAUUACACGAUGCUGGAACAUGGACGGUUGCCACGUUAAUCCUCGGGUACAAAUUAGAAUUCAUUACAAUUUUUAGGAAAAAUAUGUACGGAUGUAUGAUCCGUUAGAGGAAAAGUGAAUAGGACGGACCAAAAUGUUGGAUCCUUUGUUGGAAAAAUGGUUUGAAUUUUGGCAAUGUGAGUAAGGAUUUCCUUUGUUUUGAGAGAGAGCCAAAUAGGAUUACAUUAUUUGUUAAUGUUCGUCUCAUAUUGAUUUUCAACCUUAAAAAAAUGAUGCACUAUUUCAACUACAAUCACAUUAAACAAAACAUAAAAUUCGAUCCAUCUUGGCCUCUCGAGCUAUGUGAGUAGGAGAACAGCAUAGCAAAGAUAAACGAUCUAAUUAAUCUUCCUAGGAAGAGAUUUGAACUCUUGGAAACAACAAAAUGAAAUCAUGCAAUUCGAUUGGCAAAGUGACAAUACAUCAUCGGUACAAUGAUCAAAAAUAGCGAUUCUUGGUGAGGUACAAAUGUAUGAUCCAUUGUUGGGAAAGCAAAUAGGACGGACUAAACUUUUCGUCACAUAUUGAUUUUCAGCCACUAAAAAAAGCGAUGAGGUAAGAUAGUCAUUUGUUUCUAAAUACACAGUACAACAUAGUCAUUGUUUCUAGUCCGUUGCGGUGCGGUGGGAUAAGAAUAAAUAAUCACAUGACAAGACAUGGCAUGGCAGGCUAUCAUGCAACAUCAUGACUAGGGAAAACCAAAAGCACCAAGGAAGAUGAACAGAUUCUUGCUGAUGUCCCAUCACAGAGCAAAUAAAGCAGGAUAAAAGGGGAUUGAUCUUCGAACUAGAAAAUAGGGGAUCGAUCUUUCCAUUGAUCUUACAAAUAAAAGAUAACAGCAUAGCAAAGAUGGCCAGGGUUCCAACAAAAUCUAAAUCUAAAAUUACUAAUUAACAGCAUAGCAAAGAUAACAGCUGGCCAGGGUUCCAACAAAAUCUAAAUCUAAAGUUACUAAUUAACAGCAUAGCAAAGAUAACAACAUUGAUCUUCCACUAGCGCGGCUUGCUCACUCCAUUCACCCCUCGUUCCCGGCCAUGACGUGGUGGCGGCUCCACUUCUUAUGGUUCUCGCCCCUCAGGGGGUGGACCCAGAACGUGGUCCUUGACCUCAUUAAGGAUCCCCCACCGAUGCCUCGUUCCGGGGUAGACAGGGCACGCGAAGGUGUUGUCAGCGCGGUGAAAGAUGCGUAGAGUAUCACCCCGGGGGAAGGGCGUGUGGUAGUCGCAGCGCCGGUCGUCUGAUGAGUCCGUCAGUUUGGGAGUCGGAGUCGAACCCAUCAGCUGGAAGGGUCACAAUCAAGGUCAACUCUUGAUGCGGUGACGAGGGCGUGAGGGUGGAGGAAGCCACCCCCACCGUCGGAGGAGAACGGGAACGCACCGGGGAGCCCACAAUAGCUCCGCAGCGACCAUCCACGAGCGAUAGCAGGUUGAGGUCGGCAGCGUUGGAGCGCGAUCACGACGACGAGCGCAAUGGCCACCCAAGGUCGCUGGCGUCAGAGUGGGAUACCGACGAGAAAGCGCCGCCGUAACGGGACGACCCCACUGCGUGGACGUAGCGCCAUAGCGCUGCCGUGAAGUUGCGGGCAGUGGCGCGGCAGUAGCACGGCGACAACCCGCCACAGGAGCACGACGACGAUGAGAGGGACCUUUAGUCCUGAAUGAUUAGUUUCGGUUGAUUUUUCGAGAGAUAUGAGGCUUACCAAGCAGAACUAAUGCUCAUAUUUCCACUAGUGAGUGCAAGGUUUCCUCGACGCAUAAGACGAUUUAUCCACCGUGGUUCCUAACCACAAGUAGAAAUGCACACAUUUACUAGGGGCGGUUCCUUAAGAGAAGUGUAUUUUCCAGGGGCAGUUCCUUAAGAUAAGUACCGAUAGAAAUCUGGCAGUGUUCAGGUACAGUGCGCGAAAGCAACUGCUAGUGACUGUAGAUAACGAUAUCCAUCGAUACAAAUAAAGGCUAGUAUCACAUCUAAAAACUAGCUUUGAUAUUCAGCUCAGAUCCGUGCCUCUAACUUUUCGUGCUCAUUAUAUAAAUCAUAAAUUUCCUAAAAAAUUAACAAAAUCGUACAUAAAAAUCCAGAAUGUUUAUCAAAAGGUAAGAUUCAAAUCAGUGGUAGAUGUUCAGGAUUAACAACUUUCUUACUCCACAUAUUUUUGUUAGGUGAGGAGGCAUUGCAAGUUUGCAACUGUUGAAUGAAAUCCGUACUUCGAUGGAACUAGGAGGUAGUUGGUUUGAAGUAUAUACCAUUUAGAUAUCUAAUAAUCCUUCCUUUUAUUUCAAUAAAAAUAUUGGUUCCACGAUCAUCUAGGAGUAUGGUCUUGUACUCUCUUCUUGUUCGAGCUUUAUGUGAAUCCAACCCUAUGGAGCCAUAUUCAAUGCUCGUUAAAGAUAGUAACUAUACGGGAGUAAUGAGAAGUUAAAGGGAUGAUUGAGAUAAGACAUGUGGCAUCCAUCAAGAUAGUGAUCCUCCAUGGAACUGAAUUCAAUGCUUGAUAUCGAACCUGUCCUGAAGAUGAAAAGUUUCUCUAUAAAUUUAGACGUCCUAAACUUCAAUUCUUGUGCACACAGAAUCUACUCGCAGUCGUAGGCUCGUAGCUUAUAGACAAAUGACAUUGCAAGCAAUGGCGUUGCCCUACUUGCAAGAACUAGUCAUCUCCACACUUCUCGUUGUAUCAUUGUGCAUGUACAUUAAGUUCUGGAGGCUGAGAAACCCGUUGUACCCCAUGGACUGGCCGGUUGUGGGCAUGCUCCCUUCCAUCGUUGCCAAUCUCCACAACUUCCACGACGUACUCACUGUCUUCCUUGCCACCAACGGGUGUAACUUCAAGGCGCGAGGGCCGGUAGCAAGUGGCAUGCGGUUCUUCGUCACCGCUGAACCGGCAAACGUCCGGCACAUCUUCACCUCCAACCAUGCAAACUACCCCAAGGGCGAGGAUUUUGCUGAAAUCUUCGACAUCAUUAGCGGCACCCUCUUCACCAUUGAUGGUGAGGCCGUCCGCCAGCAGAGAGCCAUGUUCCAGAACAUCUUCAGCAAUCCACGGUUACUUGCCUUGAUGGCAAGUUGCUGCCGUGACAAGGUGGUGAACGGACUCCUCCCGUUCUUGACCCGCAUGGGGAGCACCAGGACAACGUUCGACAUGCAGGAUUUGAUCACAAGGUUGGUGUUCGACCUUACUGCCACGCCGAUCUUCGGUGUCGACCCGGGUUGCCUGUCCAUCAGCAUGCCGUCUAUCCAUGUUGCAACCGCCAUGGACACGUUCAUGGAGGUCGGCUUAUUCCGGCACACCAUACCGGCUUGUUUCUGGAAGGUGAUGAGACGGCUAAACAUCGGUCCAGAGAGGAAGCUGGCCAUGGCGCAAACAGUGAUGCAUGCUUUCAUCAGGGAGAUGACUGAGAAGUCGAAAGCCAGGUGCACCGAUAUCCUUGAUGAUGUGUUGGCCAUGGACAUUAUUUCUGCUAACCCAUCAGUGGGCAGAGACGAUGUCCUACUACGUAAUGUACUCAUCGCUCACAUGAUCGCCGGGCGGGACACGGUUGGUACCACGCUACCGUGGGUAUUCUACAACCUCGCCAGGAACCCCCGUGUGGUCUCUUGCAUCCGCAAGGAACUGGCACCCAUCGCAUCACUCAAGGCCACUGCUCUCGCCUCCAAUAGCAUCAGCAGUAUGGUCGUCUUUGAUCCAAAGGAGACUGAACACCUAGUCUACCUUCAGGCAGCCUUAUUGGAGUCGCUCAGGUUGUACCCACCAGGCCCGAUCGAGCGCAAGGUGGUGCUAGCCGACGAUGUGCUCCCAAGUGGUCACCAGUUGUGCUCCGGUGAAACCAUCCUGAUCUCCAUCUAUGCCAUGGGUAGAAUGGAAUCCCUGUGGGGCAAGGAUUGCCAUGUGUACCGUCCGGAGAGGUGGCUGUCCGAGGACGGUGCUAAACUGCGUUACGUGCCGUCCAAUAAAUUCAUGGCGUUUAACACAGGGCCGAGGAUGUGCCUUGGCAAGGACAUAGCAAUUGCGCAGAUGAAGACCAUCGUUGCCGCGGUGGUGUGGAACUUUGAUAUGGAGGUGUUGGAAGGGCAGAGCAUCGAGCCAAAGCUGUCGUGCAUUCUUCAAUUGAAGAACGGGCUCAUGAUGAUGGUUAAGCAGAGAGAGUAAUCAAUGUGACAUGGAAUGAGCUAGGUGCAAUGCAACUACAGAUCGACUCAGUCCUGGCAUAUAUGGUUUGAACAAAAUAGUUAAAUCCAAACUUAUAAUGAAGUAAAUGGAAGCGUAACAUGUAUUUUCGUCAUUAAAUAAAGUCUACGGAUGCCGUCGUCUGGCCAUCUGAAAGCUGGGAUCAUACCCAACUACAGACUCUUUGAUUUCAGUACUGAUAGUUUGUACUACUCCCUCUUUCUAAAUAAGUGAUGUUUUCAGAUUAUCUUAAGCUUAUUUGAAACUUUGAUGGCAUAUUAAUUGUUUUUCUAUGUGUAAAAGGUAUACGAGUACAUUUAUGUUUAAUAGUAACUUCAUCAAAAGCAUCCGUUCACUUUAUGAAUAUUUUGUGACAAAAACUAGCCAUCACAGUUAUGUUUUUGAGGUAAUUUCAAUAUCAAAAACUUCAUUUAUGAGACCGGAGGAACUAACAUACAAAGACAAUGAAUGUAAAUACAAUAUGCCCUCCGGUGUCCUGGACUUCAUAAGUUGUAUCUGCAAUACUCAAGAGUGAAACGAAAGAGGGCGAUGUCAAUUUGAGUGUAUCAAAAGAGACUUAAAACAUUCAAAUGAUGAAGAUAAAUUGUAUCAAAUCAUAGUCCCUAUUAUACUUAUGUAAUUAGUACAAUUUAUUUAAGUUGGAACAUACUUUUUUUUACCGUGUCUUGAUCCAAGUGCGCAUGUGGGUUUUGCAUGUUUUUCCUGGUAGGAGGCACCUGACUAAUGCGGUGUCUGGAACCUUGGUUACUCCUUUUUAUUGAUUUCCUUCCUUAAGCUACCUGAGCACCCUAGAAUAGUGAUGGGCUGCCAAGGUAUUGGAUCAAAUGAAUUCAGACACCUCUAUGUAUUUAAGGUAUUGGUGUGAGUAGCGUGUAACGACUGAUUCUGUGCUGAGUCGUACCAACCAUAUCGAGGCUUUGUGCACGCUAGCUCAUUCAGGGUGAAAGUCUGCCCCGUCCGUACAUGAUAAGCUCGAGAGUCGAGACAUUGAUUCGGCAGCUGCCGUACGUGUAUGUUUUUGUCCUUCCAUUUGCUGUACGUGUACGUGCUCGUUCCGUUGGUGCUGUGGACGGAGAGCGGCUACUUAGACAUGGACUUCUGCCGAAUCCGCAUGAUGGACAACGACAACCAGGCCCUCGACGCCGUCUUGCCCCGCGAUGAGAACGGCUGCGGCGUGCGAGACGGCACGGCCAUGACGAUCACAGAGGAGAUCUACUGGAGCGACGAGGCCAACAAGACCUGCGACGGGCUUUACGCCGAGCUCACCUGCCGCGUCUACUUCAAGGCCCACGAAGGCUUCAACCUUACCUUGCGCGACGGUGCCAUCUGCCUCUUGCCCACCGACGCCGAUGUCAAGUACCAGCACCAGCACUGGAUCUAGACCCACCUUACGCCGGCUCCCUUCCUCCUCCCUCCCUCCUUUCUUCUUCCUCCAGACCCACCCGAGCCCGAGGUUCUUGCGCCGCCCCCCGCCGCCCCACCCCCAAAUCCACCUAAAAUCCGGCGAUUUCGGUGGGGGAAAGUAGUGGAAAUCAAUCCCUGCUUCGUGUGGAAGGUAUUCCCCUACUUUUUCUCGUAUUUUACCGUUGCAUUUGGUAGAUCGGAGGAUGUUUAGGUGAUUUAGGGUUAGGUAGAUGAUUUCAAUUUUGAAUGAAAUGCAAUGGUGUUUUGUGUUAGAUGAUACGUAGUUCAGACGCAAUUGAGUCUCUGCCCGCGAUAUUGACGUGUAGAACUUGUCGAUUUAGGUAUAUAUUCAUUGAAUUGUGUAGUUGAUAUGACAUGUAUAUUUUUUGUUUGCAAUUUGUCCAAUAUGUGUAAUGUGUCUAGUUGAUAUGUUGAAUAUGUGCAAUGUGUAGUGUAUAUGACAUGGUGAAAUGUUUGUAUUUUGUAGAUGGAUCGUUUAGUUCGUUUUUUUCAUGGUGGUGUUGUGAAACAAAAUGGGGAGUUAGAGAAUAUGAAUGAGUCAAUUGCAUUCUUCGAGGGUCCUCCAAGUUUUAGUGAUUUAGUUGACCGUGUAAUGAGGAAGUAUGGAUGUAGAGUGGAUGAGAUCAGUUUGAGAGGUCGUUUUGAUUGUGGGAAAGCUAGAGCUCAUUAUGUUCUCAUGAAGUUAGCAUCCGAUGCGAAUUGGAAGCACUAUAAGGAUGUAGUUCACGAAGCUAAUGUUGCAUGUUUGGAGGUGUUGAUGCCAGAUUUUGACACUAUGAAAUUGGCGUCAGAAAAGGAAGAAAUCAAGAGAUGCGGCAAGACACGGAGGUCACGAUUGGAAAUCGGCCGAUUGGUGCUACAGUUGAGGAUCGACCGAUUGGUGCUGCAGUGUUUCCGCGAAUGGAGUUGGUGGAAAUCGGCUGAUUGGGAGGCUGGAGCAAUUGGGCCGGUAUGGGCUUAAAGUGAACUAUGAAGAUAAAGAGGGAGUCAGCCCAUGGGAGCGCGAUGAUCAACUCCAGUACGAGUCACACUUGUAAAUAUUUGUUUUCGUUUAAAAUUAGAGAUAGAGUCCUAGUCGGUUAAGAAAUUGGUUAUAACAGGCUAUAAAUAGUCACCUUCGUAGAUCUGUAAUCAUCAUCAAAUCAAUACAACAAACUACUAUUUCCUCACACUUACUUUCGAGCAGGCGACUUCGCCAAUACUUUUCUUCUUUUUCACGAGUUCGUACAGGUUGGCGGGGCUGCAUCAACUUGAUCUCCGGCCGAUUCUGUAAGUUCCGCUUAUCGAGUAAUAUCUAAGCUUUAACUUCGGACGCAUCGCUGUCGUUUCGUUUAGAUUUAUUCACUAGUUAUCGAUAUUCACUAGAAUUCUAGGUCUUGCCUUUUGUUCUAGUUUUAUCACCAGUUAUCCAGCUAGGAAUUGGAACUUUCAGCUUUCUUGUACUUUAUUACUUAAUCUAUCGCUUUCUGCAUAGCCAAUUCAGAUCUAUUCCUAGUAUUGUUACUGUAGCGUUGUUUAGAUUACUCUAGCAGUUUUCUUUACUAACGCUGCCCGGUAAUCGGCCGCAUUAUAGCCGAUUUCUUUAUUACAGCAAAUCAGCCGAUUCGCUGAUAAGCUUUCUCGAGAUCGGAACCUUAGCCGAUCGCAACCUCUGGGAUCUGACAUGUUUCUUUCCUUGCCAAUCAACAGGUCAGAUUGGCUGGCACACCGCGCGAACCGCACUAGGGCAAUCACCCGAACAAGAGUUAAGCAGAUUCUCCCAGGUCGUGUGUCCGACGCUAGAGAUUCGAUCAGCCGAUUUCUAGCGCCAACAGGAGGUUAUAGUCGAAAUUGUUCGUAUACCUGGCCCAAAUGUUGUCAUGAGGGAGGAAGUGGCGGUAGUGAACCAUAAUGGUACCCAGGAGUCAGAAAUGUUGCAUCACGUGUUAGGUGAAACAGAACGUGAUUUUAACUUGGCUAUUGCCAAUGACGAUUUUCCCAAUAACAUUUUUGAGAGGGAUGAAGCAAAUAUAGAUGUCGAUAAUGUCUCUAUGGGUUCCGAAGAUUGUGAAUUCGAGGAAGAUGGGGUAGUAGGUGUGGAGGUAGAGGAGGAAUCACUAUUUGAGAGUGGUGGGCAUGAAUAUAAGGACGACAGGAUAGAAAAUGAAGAGGAUGGACCGCAAUUUGACACCGCAACCGUGCAUGAUGUAGAAGGCAUUCGUCGUAUGGACGAUUGUUUUUCUUACACCCAGAACAAGUUGCGGUUGUUAAAAGAACGUGAUGUCGAACUGCCAUCCAUUCCCAAUGAUAAGGACAUCAGUAUGGUCCACAAAGCAAUAUGUGAAUCUAGUAUGGUGAAUGCCGAAGGGACGUCCGUUGGUGAGAGUCCAGUGAUUAAGAAGGGGAUGAAGUUCAAUAGUCUUGAGGAGCUGAAGUUUUUCUUGGCUGACUACGCAGUGAGGUUACAUAGACCUUUUAGCGUAGUUCACUCUGACAAGAACUUAAGAUACAAUGUGAUGUGCAAGCAAGGAUGCCAUUGGCGUGUAUGGUCUCGGCUAAUAUCAAGCACCGGACAAUGGAGAAUUUCAAAUGUUGUGUAACCGCAUACUUGUCGGUCGUCACAGCCGAAGCGAGAGCAUGUACAGUGCACAGCAAAGUACCUUGGGUGGCGUAUCCUAGGCAUUAUCCGUAAAGACAGCGAGACAUCGGUGCCAUCCCUCGUGGAGUUCAUCUUCGCCUUUAGUGGGUACCGUGUGAAGUAUUCGAAGGCUUGGCGGGCGAAGCAACACGCCAUUGCCCUGCUUUAGGGCGACUGGAAGGAGUCGUACGGCAUGGUUCCUAGGGUACUCUCAGCUAUAACCUACUACAAUUUCGGGGUUAAAUGGUGCAUCGACUCAUGUGGCAUGAUGCAUCCUGACAAUGGAGUUUUGAAGCAUAUACUGCAAAGGGGAUUUUGGUGCUUCCCUCAAUGUAGUGAGGCAUUUCAACAUUGCCGUCCUGUGAUACUUGUGGACGGUACAUUCUUGACUGGCAAGUAUAAGGGUACGUUAAUGAUGGCAGUUGGUGUAGAUCCAGAACAGCAGCUUGUGCCUCUUGCUUUUGCCUUGGCCGAGAGUGAGAAUAAUGAGAGUUGGUCAUGGUUUAUGAAACUUGUUCGGCGACAUGUUCUUGGACCUUCACGGAUAGUGUGUAUGAUAUCAGAUAGGCAUCAUGGGCUCCUAAAUUGUACGAAGGACCACAUGGAUGGUUUUCCACCGCUUGUGCAUAGGUGGUGCACGAGGCACUUUGCUGCCAACAUGUCGCGUCGGCAGAAGAGCAACCGUGUGAUUGGAAAAUUGAAGAUAUUAUGCAAGGUUCAUACGGAGAGAGAAUUUAGUGAGAAGUUAGAAGAUCUAGUGAAGGACUUGAACGAUGACGCAAAAGAAUGGUUGAAGGGUGAAAUGGAGGACAAGGAUAAAUGGGCGUAGGCUUUCGAUGAGGGAGGGAUGCGUUGGGGUAUUAUGACCACGAACUACUCGGAAUCACUCAACGCAGUUUUCAAAGGCAUCCGAAGUAGGCCCGUCUCUGGAAUUAUUGAAUACUCAUUCGAAAAAUGCAACGCCUACUUUGUGGACCGAUAGCAAAAGGCACAUGCAAUGUUGGAUGAAGGCUAUAGAAUUGGGAAAGUUGCAGAUGAUUAUUUAUCAGAGGCUGAGCUUAGAUCCGUGCACCACUUAGCAGAACCGUACGGGCUAGAAAGGAUGGUGUAUUCUAUAAGAAGUUACGGUACGACUAACAUUGGGGGUGAGAGUCAUGGAGGCCGACACUACAGAGUGGAUCUGAACGAAGUUUCAUGCACCUGCAAUGUUCCACAAUUGUUGCACCUUCCAUGUUCACACUUCAUUACAGCUUGCAAGGCAAGAGGUCUUAACUAUGAAAGCCCCUUGUACAUGUCACCGUUGUACUCUAGGGAGCACACCGUCAAAAUAUGGGAAUCAAGAUUUCAACCUUACCUUGAUCCGUCACAAUGGCCAGCAUAUGAAGGGGUAGGGUACGUGCCUAACCCCAAUUUGAUGAGAAAUAAAGUAGGAAGGAGGAAGAAGAAGCGUUUCACAGGCGACAUGGACGUGUCGGAAGGGAGGUUGUUGACGCCAGAUUUCGUCACUAGUAAAAUCGACGCCAAGAAGAGAAGGAAAUGGAGAAGCACAGUUGGGAAUCGGCCGAAUGGUGCUACAGUACGAGAUCGGCCGAUGACUUCCGUCUCGCCUCGGGUCGAGCGUGCCGGGUUCCCAAUCGGUUGCCUCUUGCCGAUAAGGAAUCGGCCGAUUAGGAGGUUGGGUUAAUUGGGCCUGUAUGGGCUUGGAAAGGAAUAAAAGGAUGAGGGGGAGAUCAGCCCAUGAAACGUAGAGUAACCAACCUAGCACGAAUCGUGCUUGUAAAUAUUCGUUUUCUGUUUGAAUUAGGGAUAGAAUUCUAGUCGAAUAAGAAGUCAUCUAUACGGGGCUAUAAAUAGCUACCUUUGUAAAUCUGUGAUCAUCAACAAAUCAAUACAACAUACUACUUUUUCCUCGUACUUACUUUCAAGCAGACGACUUCGUCAUUACUUUUCUCUUUUUCACGAGUUCGUGCGGGUUGGCAGGGCUGCAUCAGUUUGAUCUCCGUCCGAUUCUGUAAGUUCCGCUUAUCGAGUAAUAUCUAAGCUUUAACUUCGGGCGUAUCGCUGUUGUUUCGUUUAGAUUUAUUCACUAGUUAUCGAUAUUUGCUAGAUUCAUAGGUUUUACCUGUCUUUCUAGUUUUAUCACCAGUUAUCCAGCUAGGAAUCGGUAGUUUCGGCUUUCUUCACGUUCUGCUUUUGAAUUCAUCUAUUGCCGAUUAGAUCUGUUCCUAGUGUUGUUAUCUUAGCUCUGUGUCGAUUACUCUAGUAGUUUUCUGUCUACAAGGCUACAGUGAUCGGCUGCCUUAUAGCCGAUUUCUUUAUUACGGCAAAUCGGCCGAUUCGCUGAUAAGCUCUCUCGUGAUCGGAAACCUAGCCGAUCGCGAUUUCUGGACCUGACACGUAUUCUUCCUUGCCAAUCAACAGGUCAGAUUGGCUGGCACGCCGCGCGAACCGCACCAGGGCAAUCACCCGAACAGGAGUUAAGCAGAUUCUCCCGGGUCCUGUGUCAGACGAUGGGAUUCGGUUGACCGAUUUCUAGCGCUAACACACUUUUGGCACGCCCAGUGGGAUCAAUACAACCGCCAUCAUGUCGAAAGCUGCUGAAGUCUCCGAAGAAAACGUCAUCGAGGUGACGGAAGCAGAUCUGAAGGACGACUAGAAGGAAGAACUGGAUAAGUAUACGGCACAGUUCCGGAAAGCUUGCCUACAGUCUUUCAGUCGCUCCAGAAGCGGGGAGACUAUCAAGAAGACUCCGUUCCCUGCUUCCCGCCAGAUCACGAUUUCUGAGGACUCAGACAAAAUGGCCGAUAUGAUUCAACAGUCCAUUUAUCACGCCUUCGUUGAUCAGUCCCCAGUACUUUCAAAUAUGGUGCACAACGCCGUUGUCAACUCCUUCGCUGGUGGGAUACCUCAAGGAUACAGGGGACCGGCAUAUUUUCAGCCGAUUCCACCAAACCAGAAUUAUUCGAGUUCGGUUUCACAGCCGAUCCAAUUUUCUGUCGGGGGUUCAGGUGCUUCCUCAUCAUCAGCUCCUAUGGGGUAUAACUCCAUCCAACUGUCUUCCGCACCAUUCCCUCCAGUUAGCCCAUCACCCUGGGGGGCACCUUCAGCCACGGCCGGUCAGAAUCAAUCGGCCAGUCAAGGAAGCCCUCCAUUCCAGGCAUCUUUCCAGGCGGCCACUCGGCCGACCGUACCGCCAUACCAGCCUGUCGCUCCGGAGGUCAACAAGACAGCAAAGCUCAUGCUGUAUGAUGAAACGAGUGGUUCAUUCAAACAGCCAACCUUUACCACGCAGCCGGCUUUCACCCAGAUGCCACCUGCUUUCACUCAGCCUCCGUUUAUUCCGCCUCCGGUUUACCAGCACGUGCCAAUACCUCAGCCAACGGUUCACCAGCAACAGCCAGAUUGGUCGUCACGUAUUGCGGAGGUGAUGCAAGAACAAUUCGGCUUAAAGCCGAAAGUACAAACUUACACCUACAGAAUACCAUACCCGUCUACAUAUGACCUAUUGCCGUUCCCCCAUCGGUAUAAAGUUCCUGACUUCACUAAGUUUUCGGGGAUGGAUGACACUUCGACCGUAGAGCACGUGAACAGAUUCAUCAUCCAAUGCGGAGAGGCAGCUACGCAGGAUGCCCUACGGGUACGGUUGUUCUCAUCAUCUUUGUCUGGGUCGGCCUUUCAAUGGUUCACGACAUUGCCGCCAAACUCGAUUAUCACAUGGGCUGAUUUGGAAAGACAGUUCCACAAAUACUUCUACGCCGGGGUGCAUGAGAUGAAACUGUCCGAUUUGACCAGCCUCAGGCAAAGAAGUGACGAGCCGAUAUCCUCGUAUGUACAGAGGUUUCGGGAAAUCAGAAACAAGUGCUAUUCCCUGGCUCUAAACGACGCGCAGUUGGUCGAUAUAGCUUUUCAAGGCCUUCUGCCCCACAUCAAAGAAAAAUACGCCUCACAGGAGUUCGAGAGUUUGAGCCAGAUUGUCCACCGAUUGUCUGGAUAGGAGGUACGUUCCUUCGAUCCACGGAGGAAUUUCCAGAAGAAAGUGGCGUUCCUGGAAGAGUUAGAGGACAAGGAAGACGUUGAAGUCGGACUUGCGGAGUGGAUCAAGGGAAAGAAGCCGAUAUCAUGCCCAUUCGGCAAAAAGGAGCCGGAGGUGUUCGGUUUUGACACGACAAAGGCCGAUAAAAUAUUCGACCUUCUCCUCCAGGAAGGACAGAUUAAACUCUCGCCAUACCAUACAAUACCUUCUGCCGAACAACUAAAAAAGAUGAAAUACUGCAAGUGGCACAAUGUCACAUCCCAUGAUACUAAUGAGUGCAAAAUCUUCAGGCAGCAGAUACAGUCGGCCAUUGAGCAGGGCAGACUUAAAUUUUAAGUGCCGACAAAAUCGGCCAAGCCAAUGAAGAUCGACCAGCACCCCUUCCCCACCAAUAUGGUUGAUACGGGAAAGAAUUCACUCCAAACAAAAGUGCUGACGUCCGAAUCGGCUAAAAAGAGUGGCGCCGUCGACCCCAAAAAUCAAGCUAUGCCUGAAGAUGUAAGGGGAAGCGGCGGAUGGAGGAUGACGAUGGCGAAUCAGAAGAGCCACGCAUUACUUCCCAGUUCCUGCUCCAGAAGUACCAACGUCAGCAUGAACGCUCAAGGUCCCGGGAAGAAGCAAUGCGACGGCACGAAGAUCACUGGAGGUGCCCGUUCUUCAUCCACUGUUGGGAAAACAACCUCAGGCUACCUUCGGCCGAUAAUUGCCCAGAAUGCAAUAGUCCAUAUCGUGGCAAUCGACCGUUGAACAGGUCUCGCUCCAGAGACGGAAGGCCAGAGCCGAUCAGCAGGAAUUGGCGCAACCAAGAUGACCAGCGCCCUCCCGUGCAUGAUCGGCUGGGGGGCAGAAGUGACCGAUAUCAUCGGUCGGAAGAUAGACGCCAUGACAGGCAGGGGGGCAUGACUGAUCGGCAUGACCGGUCAGAAAACAAAGCCAACGUUCACAGCUGGCUCGAAGAGAUGGCCGAUGCUCGGGUGACGGACGAAAACCCGUUAGGACGCGAACCGGAGUGGGAACGCGCCAGGACAGGAGCAAGACCAAUAAACCCCAGGUGGUGUCCCGAUGGAUUGACCAAGUCUCAGAAAUGAAGAAUCCAACGUCUCCGCCAAUUGGAACAGCAAGAAGAGGAACAACAGAGCACGACGGACAAGAAGGAAGGAAGGCCUCGGGUGUGGCGUCCCAAAAGAAACAAUAAAGGAGACGACGAAUCGGCGGGUGACGAAUCGGCAGCCGAGAUCGGCAUGGUUUUCAUACUGCCGAUGGAAUUCAUGACUCCCGCCGAUCAACAGGAUAUAUCGGCGAUAGAAGACCAGACGGCACAGUUGGUUUUGGAGCCAAUGAUGGCCACAUUCGAGAAGCCCGAAGAUAGCGAACGACAACACAUGAAGGCGCUGUUCCUUAAAGGGCAUGUUGACGGCCGCCCCCUCACUAGAAUGAUGGUAGACGGAGGAGCUGCUGUCAACAUCAUGCCAUACGCCAUGCUCCGGAAGCUUGGAAAAAGCGACGACGACUUGACUAAGACGGACUUCGAAGGCAACGUGUCAAGCGCUCGCGGCGCUCUCUGCGUCGACCUCACCAUCGGCAGUAAGACCCUCCCUACCACCUUCUUUAUUAUUAAUGGCAAGGGAUCCUACAAUAUGCUGCUCGGCCGGGACUGGAUACACGCAAAUUGCUGCAUCCCGUCAACAAUGCAUCAAUAUCUCGUACAAUGGGUCGGCGAUAACAUCGAGGUGGUCAACGCCGAUUCCGCAUACAGCAUCGCGGCAGCCGACACACAACAGUGGAGCUGCGAAACCGUCAGGUGCAUAUCCGGCAGAGUAUGGGAGACCGAUUUCCUGAAGGUCACCGAUUUUGGCCUACAGCCGAUCCGAGCAGUCGGCUCCGAAGACUCAGAAUAGAUGGAUCAGUUCGCCCGAGAAUAUGGGAAGCUAGGGCACGGGUUCACGUCGGCCGAUUCAUUAGAGAUGAUAGACUUAGGCGAUGGUACCAAACCAAGGCCGACUUAUAUUAGUGCAAAUUUAGACCCAGAAUACAAGUGUAAAUUGACAAAUUUGUUAAAAGAAUUUAAGGAUUGUUUUGCUUGGGAGUAUCAUGAGAUGCCCGGUUUAGAUCGGUCUAUUGUUGAACAUCGGCUACCCAUAAAACCAGGGUAUCGGCCGUACCAACAGCCUGCACGGCGCUGCAAUCCUAAGAUUCUACCAGACAUAAAAGUUGAAAUAACUCGGCUAAUCGAAGCAAAAUUUAUUCGGCAAUGCCGUUAUGCCGAGUGGAUCUCCAACAUUGUACCAGUGUACAAGAAGAAUGGAAAGCUACGCAUUUGCGUUGAUUUCAGGAAUCUUAAUCAGGCCACACUGAUGGAUGGUUACCCCAUGCCGACGGCCGAUGUGUUGAUCGACGCUGCCGCAGGGCACAAGAUUAUUAGCUUCAUGGACGGAAACGCUAGGUACAAUCAAAUACUUAUGGCCGAAGAGGACAUACCCAAAACGGCCUUCAGAUGCCCAGGUCACCUUGGCUUGUUCGAGUGGGUGGUGAUGACUUUCGGCUUGAAGAACGCUGGCGCUACAUAUCAGAGGGCCAUGAAUUACAUAUUUCACAAACUCAUUGGCAUUCUGGUAGAGAUCUACAUCGAUGACGUCGUAGUCAAGUCCAAAGGUCAUGAAGAGCAUCUGGCCGAUUUACGAAGAGUGCUAGAGUGCACCAAGAAACACGGUCUUAAGAUGAAUCCCAAUAAAUGUGCUUUCGGCGUAUCCGCCGGACAGUUCUUAGGAUUCAUGGUGCAUGAACGAGGGAUAGAGAUCAAUCGGAAGACCAUAGCGGCCAUCAACAAAGUCGUGGCCCCGCAGAAUAAAACCGAACUGCAGUCUUUAAUCGGCAAGGUGAAUUUCAUCAGAAGAUUCAUAUCUAAUCUAUCUAGGCGGAUUCAGGCGUUCACGCCACUGUUGAAGUUAAAGCCUGACCAGGAAUUUAUAUGGGGGGAAGAGCAGCGCAAAGCAUUGGAAGAUAUCAAGCGAUACUUGGUCUCGCCACCGGUAUUGGUUCCUCCUCAGACUGGUAAACCGUUUAAGAUAUACUUAUCUGCCGAUGAAAAGGCUAUUGGGUCGGCUCUGGUCCAGGAGUUCGAAGGCAAGGAACGAGUAAUUUAUUAUGUCAGUAGAAGACUUCUGGACGCUGAAACAAGAUACCCUCCGGUGGAGCGUUUGUGCCUAUGUCUUUACUUCUCAUGCACCAAACUCAGGCACUAUCUACUGUCGGCAGAAUGCGUGGUCGUAUGCAAAGACGACGUAGUAAAAUACAUGCUAUCGCUGCCGAUCUUGAAAGGACGAAUCGGCAAAUGGAUCUUAGCGUUGUCAGAAUUCGACCUGCGGUAUGAAUCGGCGAAAGCCGUCAAGGGUCAGGUCAUGGCCGAUUUCGUCGCCCAACACUGCGGACUGGAGAUUGCCCUCGUAGAGCCGGCACCUUGGACAUUAUAUUUCGAUGGGUCAUCAUGUGGAGUCGGAUCAGGAAUCGGCAUCGUCCUCAUAUCGCCUCGGGGGGCAAGCUAUGAUUUUCUCUGCCGAUAGAAGCCGCCGCUACUAACAAUCAAGCGGAGUACCGAGCUGUGUUGAAGGGCCUACAACUAUUAAGGGAAGUCAAGGCCGAUUCUGUUGAAAUCUUCGGAGAUUCCAUGCUUAUUGUGGAUCAACUGACCGGAAGGUCCGAAUGCAAGGACGACGUAUUAAGAAUUUAUUACGAAGAUUGCUUACAGCUCUUAAAAGAAUUUAGAUCGGUAGUAAUCGAACACAUCCCAAGGGACCACAACGAGGGUGCCAACGAGCUCGCCCAGCACGCAUCUGGAUAUCGGCCAAUUCUAGGCGCUAUGGCUCUAGAACUCGCGACCGAUGACUGACGAAAAGAAAUUGCCGACUACCUGAAAGAUCUGUCUAAAAAGGUGGAACGACGAGUACGUUUUCAUGCUACUAAAUACGUACUGCUCGAAGACGACCUAUUCUACCGAAUGAUCGACGGUGUUCUACUAAAAUGCUUUGGGACAGAGGAGGCCAAGACCCUAAUGGGAGAAAUCCAUGAAGGGGUAUGUGGAGCACACCAAUCGGCCCAUAAGAUGAAGUGGAUGAUCAGGAAUAAUGGGUACUACUGGCCAACGAUCCUCGAAGACUGUUUCAAAUAUUAUAAGGGGUGUCAGGAUUGUCAAAAGUUCAGAAAUGUCCAACGUGCACCUGCAUCGGCCAUGAAUCCCAUUAUCAAGCCAUGGUCGUUCAGGGGAUAGGGAAUAGACCUUAUCGGCCAAAUUUACCCUCUAUCAAGUAAAGGGCAUAAGUUUAUUCUGGUGGCUACUGAUUACUUUACCAAAUGGGUGGAGGCAAUUCUGUUAAGAGCUGUGACAUCGGCUAUCAUGGCCGACUUCGUAAGAGAUCACAUUGUCUAUCGAUUCGGCAUUCCUCAGACUAUAACGAUCGAUCAAGGAACAAUGUUCACAUCGGGGGAAUUCGAGGAAUUUACAACCGAUAUGGGGAUCAAAUUGUUGAAUUCUUCUCCGUAUUACGCCCAAGCCAAUGGUCAGGCCGAAUCCUCCAACAAAGGGAUAAUCAAGUUGAUCAAAAGGAAAAUCGAGGAACAGCCAAAGAAGUGGCAUCUAUGUUUGACUGAGGCCCUAUGGGCGUACAGAAUGGCUUGUCAUGGGGCUACCAAGUUAUCUCCCUAUCAGUUGGUGUACGGUCACGAUGCAGUACUACCAUGGGAAUCGAGGGCGGGAUCGAGGCGUAUUUCGCUCCAGGACCAGUUAACGGCCGAUGACUACUCAUCACUCAUGAAAAGGGAGCUUGAUGAUUUGGCUGGCCAACGAUUGAGUGCUCUGAUAAGCAUUGAAGAAAACAAAAAGAAAGUCGCCAGGUGGUACGAUAAGAAGGUCAAAGUCAAACAAUUCUCCCCUGGGGACUUAGUAUGGAAGUUAGUACUGUCGAUUGGGUCGAAAGAUCCUAAAUUCGGAAAAUGGUCCCCUACAUGGGAAGGGCCGUAUAAAAUCGGCAGAUGUGCUCCAGGGAAUGCUUACAUUUUGGAAAUAAUAGAGGGGGAAGAAUUUACUAGAGCUCUGAACGGAAGGUACUUAAAAAGAUACUAUCCCAGUAUAUGGGUCGGAGCAUAAGGGAUUAACCGUAAUACGAUCACACACAGCCGAUACAAAACGGUUCAAACACAUAGUCGUCCAAAUCGGCCGAUGUAUUCAUUCGGUACGGGCGAUGGGUUACACGGCCGACAAAACACAAGUCGCCCUUAGAACAAAAAACACAAAUAACUAAUUAUUCUUCUUCUUGCGCUCCCCCUCAGUCCGAUCCAACUCAUUCAUGAGACAGAGGUAUUCUUCUUCUAUUUCUUUCAUUGAAGCCUCCGCUUCAACUUGGCGAGGGAGAGGAUGGCUCCGGUCCAUGGCCGGGCGCGAAGUUCCUGCCGCCGCGUCUUCAAGAACGACUCGCGGAGGAAGCAGAUGGCUCCUAUCGGUUGGAGAUCGCCGGCUACCAUUGCUCUCCACAAAAUCCAAGCCCACACGAGCCUCCGCGGUGACGUGGUCUUGAAGUUCGUCACGAUGAGCCCUGAUCAGCUCCUGAUCCUCUGACGACAAUGGGUCCUCAGAGUGUAUGAGCUCAAUGGCGCGUACGAGCUCAGGGCUAAGGCGUUGAGGCUGAAACAAAGAAAGAUUAAAAAGGGGGCAUCCUCUUCCUAAGAUCUAAAAGGAGAAAGGGGAGUCGAGGCCAAGGUUUCACCUGGUUGACGGAGGAGGAGGAGGCCGACGAAGACAUGACGGAAGGCCGCACCGACGAGAGGAGUAAAGAGAAUAAAACCGAAAGCCAAACUGGUACCCUCGGAAGGAAGUGCCUAGGCCGGCACUUAUAAGAAAAAGAGGCGUGGAAAUUUGGUAAUGAUACGUCCCAUCGGAAAUAAGAAAGGCAAUAAAUAGAAAGGGCGCCGCGAAGGGUGGUCAAAGCGGAUAGUAAAUGUUCGUACAAAAUAGCCAGUGUUUUACAGACUACCCAGAAGGGUAUCGCUAGCCGCGAUUGCCUGACGCCGGAUCUGAUCGGCAGAGUCCAGGACCCGUUGGUCUUCAUCCGCCGAUCCGGGGACUUCUGAUGCGCUGCGAUGGAGUUUUAGGGCCUCGUGGGCCAAGUGCUGCCUCUCCCGUUUCAAAUCGGCAAUGACAGAAGGGAGUUCUUGGAGCCUCUUCUCUUCGGCACUGAUUGCUUUGGUCACUUGCUCUAUCUCCUUGGCGAGCUCCGCCCUCCGACGCUUGAGGCGGUCUAUCUCACCUAUGAUCCCCGGGCGGGAAUUCUCCAGAAAAUGGAUACGUCGGUGUGCCUCUUGAGCUUGGCGCUUGAACGCGUCCUCCUCUUCACGAGUCUUGGCCAGCUUGGCGCGAUCGGCCAUGUGACGAAGGGCUCUGAAGACCGGGAUCCUCAUAGACUCGAUGAAUGCCGCCGGUGCCAAGGCUUCCUCCGCCUCUUCUGGUACUCGUCCGCUGACGUCACCGAAGAGCUGCCGAAUCGGUGAAGCAUCUUCUACUAAUCGGCCGAUGUCCCCUUGAAGGAGGGAUCGGAUACUAGCGAGUUUGGCUCGGACGUCAUCAGGAAUGGAACUCAAGGCGACUUGGCGGGAAGCGACUUCUUCAUUAUCGGAGAGGGCAACCGCAAAAGAGAAGAGGCUGUUGUCGGGGGUGUCUUGUUCCUGGAGAUAAUAAAGAGGGAGAAAUAAACCGGCUGAAGGUGGAAGCAAAUCGGCUAAAUAAAGCCGGAAUAUAACUUACCACUUUGAAGCGAAUUUCUUCAUGUUGCAUUUGGGAAGCCGUCAUGCCUUGCUCAGGGGCUUGUGCCAUGGGUUCGUCAGAAGAGGAAGACUCCACAACGAUCGGCGCGGUGCUUGGACCAGCUCCCUGAGAAAAGACCGGUGGUUGAGGAGCGCUUGGUGUACCGAUGACCUGUGUCAGAGAAUUGAAUAAGUACAUUAUGCAAAUACCAGGGAAAAUCGGUGAAAUAGAGCUAUACCUCAACGGAUAGAAGUGGGGGCGCGUCGACGGCCGAUUGGGCUGCUGCCGAUUGUCGGAUAUCCAUGGGAGUGCUCUGUGCAGUCUAAAGAUAAGAAGGGUUAAUAUCAGAACAACAAUCGGGAGGAGUAAAACUUAGGUUUACCUGAACGGCCUCCAACAACAAUGACGCGGCGGCUGCUCCAGCUUGUGCCAUGACUUGGGUAUCAUCAUCUUUGGUGGCCUGAGGGGGUGGCGCGGCCGGAGUCUCUGCCGAUACGAGCGUAGGAGGAUCCGCCGAUUCUAUACGAGCUCGGACUCGACGACUGGUUUUUUUGGUGAUCCUCUUCUGAACUUGUUUCGAUCGGCCAGCAAUCACGUCCACAGACGGAGCAUCAUAGCCAAUAAGAGGAUAAGAGGUGUAUGGAUGAUGACUCUCUAUUAGCCGACCACUCCGGCUGUGUGUUGGAGGUGUACGGUUCUCGACCUGAAGAAAUAAUAAAACUAUUAGUAUUCAAUCACGUUAAGAGGAGUAAGAAUCGGCUAAGGAAAAUACCUCGGCAUUCGGGUCAAUGUUGGCUGGAUCCAGGAGGUUGUAGUAUGCCGAUGCCGAAUUGCAGAAGAGAAAUUGCUUCCAAUCGGCCCACCAGAGUUUGAACGGCUGGACAGCAAAGGGAGCUACUAUCCAGUUGUUCAGGUCAAUGGUGUUGGAGUCCGGAAUCCGGUCGCGUACCCGACUGUAAUCCAGACCGGAUGUGAGCUCAUCUUUGAACUUGACUCGGCCAGCAAAAUACACUUGAAUCGGCAGCUGACCCAUGCCGAACUGACGUGCUGCAACGGAAGGGUUGUAAAACUCAUACGUGGGGGCAUCUUUCCCCGAAAAGAAGUUGGCUGGCAAGAUUCCUGGCUUGAUUAACUCAUCAUUGAGCUCUUCGUCAAAUCGGCCAGUGAUCGAAUCGAAGCAGGUGGGGAGUUCAAAGAUUGGGUUAUCCCGCCGAUAAGGAAACCAAACGGUUGCAUCUUCAUUAAAGCCAUUAUAGAAGCAUCGGAAGUACUCGGCUACCUUUGUAGCAGAAUAUGUGCAACCUGGAAAGGCCGAUACUGCUUCACCAAAAGACAUGCAUCGGCGACGUUCAGUAGGAUCUUCUGCCGAUUCAAUGUUGGGAAACAUCAUACGGUCCACCCUAUGCUGAGUGAUCUCGCUCAUGUAGAGGUUCAACCAUAGGUUGAUAAACCACCAGGGUCCGCCUGGAUUUCCGAUCGGCUCUCCCUUGGAUAGUCUGAUGCCGAUUUGAUGGAGCAUGUGGUACAUCGCCCCUAGCAAGUGUUUCCCAAGGGGGACACGGUUUCCUCUGGACAGUGCUUCGGCUAAAGCCUGGGUGUUGGUUGAUGGGCCGGCGGCUCUUCCACAAAAGAAGUGUUUUUCUAACCACAUCAUUAAGAAGGCCGUAUGCUCCCUAUUCUCAACAGACCCGGUUCUUUUAUUACUUCUGAUGAAACCCUUCCACCCGCCGAUUCCCCUUGUGUCCAGCCGAUGUGACGUUGUGGCUAAAAGGUGGAAAGGUGUGUCCGGGGAAGAAAUGUCAAGGCCGGUCAACAGAACCACAUCGGCUAGUGUUGGGGUCAUAGGUCCGUGCCCAAAUAAGAAAGCAUUGAGUGCAUCAGACCAAAAAUAAGAAGCCUCUAUUACCAACGGCUCAUUUUCUCCAUGUGGGACAAGGAUAGGUUGAUGCACUGGCCGAUUUUGAGCUCCUCCCACGAGACGCUCUUCGACGCGGCUACCCGUUGGUACCACUCCCUCCAACCUGGGGUUUCAUUCGGCCAGGACCUAAAAGUGCCCAACCAUUGAUCUAAGUCCAUGUCGGACAGUUUGAAGGGUAUCCUGUGGGUUUCUAAAUUGAUGAACUCUAUCGGAUCUGGGUUCCCCAUGGGUCCGAGGCAAAUAAGACCGGGAUUUCCCGUAAUAUGAAUGGUAAUGCGAUGCCUGACCGCCUAAAAAAGGAAAGGGGGGUGUAAAAAGGUAAGAAACAGAUCUAGAGUAAAUGCAUUGCCAAUGGGGGAAGGAUUCGGUAAAAACCUCUGGGAUGAAGUUCCGUGUGGUCGGCGUGGUCGCCGGUGCAGAUGCGGACGAUGAGGCCGUGAUGGGGAUCGCCAUUGGGAUCUCCGAUGAAGCUCCUUCUUCUGUUGAUGGAGCAACUGCCGUUGCCACUACCGCCGGAGGUGCCACUUCCGGAACAUCGUGUGCUGGAGAGCUGCUGGAAGGAGCCGCCAUUGGAGAGGAAGAGAAGAAGCAACGGGCGGUUGGCGCUAGGAAGCUCUGACGGCAAGAGAAAAGGUGCUAAAGGAAGAAGAAGGCGCGCGCUGAGAAAGGAAGACGUGAACUUGAAGAUGAAGUGCGGGGGUGAACCGCUAUUUAAAGGGCGCCUGAAGAAGGGUAAAAAUGGGAUUUUCACCGCGCCGGCGUUUCGAGUUUUUCGGGAGUAGUGGUUGUCGUGGGCGCCCGUUUCGAAAAGAUUGCAAUCAUCAGCUGGAAGACCGCGAAACAGAAGGAUAUUUUCAUUGCGGCUGUUUCGGAGGGGAGGUUAUAAAGAAUUUUGAAGUAAAAGAUUAUGUUUUACUCCGAAACUGGGGGGCAUGUGUUGACGCCAGAUUUCGUCACUAGUAAAAUCGGCGCCAAGAAAAGAAGGAAACGGAGAAGCACAGUUGGGAAUCGGCCGAAUGGUGCUACAGUACGAGAUCGGCCGAUGACUUCCGUCUCGCCUCGGGUCGAGCGUGCCGGGUUCCCAAUCGGUUGCCUCUUGCCGAUAAGGAAUCGGCCGAUUAGGAGGUUGGGUUAAUUGGGCCUGUAUGGGCUUGGAAAGGAAUAAAAGGAUGAGGGGGAGAUCAGCCCAUGAAGCGUAGAGUAACCAACCUAGCACGAAUCGUGCUUGUAAAUAUUCAUUUUCUGUUUGAAUUAGGGAUAGAAUUCUAGUCGGAUAAGAAGUCAUCUAUAAGGGGCUAUAAAUAGCUACCUUUGUAAAUCUGUGAUCAUCAACAAAUCAAUACAACAUACUACUUUUUCCUCGUACUUACUUUCAAGCAGACGACUUCGUCAUUACUUUUCUCUUUUUCACGAGUUCGUGCGGGUUGGCAGGGCUGCAUCAGUUUGAUCUCCGGCCGAUUCUGUAAGUUCCGCUUAUCGAGUAAUAUCUAAACUUUAACUUCGGGCGUAUCGCUGUUGUUUCAUUUAGAUUUAUUCACUAGUUAUCGAUAUUUGCUAGAUUCAUAGGUUUUACCUGUCUUUCUAGUUUUAUCACCAGUUAUCCAGCUAGGAAUCGGUAGUUUCGGCUUUCUUCACGUUCUGCUUUUGAAUUCAUCUAUUGCCGAUUAGAUCUGUUCCUAGUGUUGUUAUCUUAGCUCUGUGUCGAUUACUCUAGUAGUUUUCUGUCUACAAGGCUACAGUCAUCGGCUGCCUUAUAGCCGAUUUCUUUAUUACGGCAAAUCGGCCGAUUCGCUGAUAAGCUCUCUCGAGAUCGGAAACCUAGCCGAUCGCGAUUUCUGGACCUGACACGUAUUCUUCCUUGCCAAUCAACAGGUCAGAUUGGCUGGCACGCCGCGCGAACCGCACCAGGGCAAUCACCCGAACAGGAGUUAAGCAGAUUCUCCCGGGUCGUGUGUCAGACGCUGGGAUUCGGUUAACCGAUUUCUAGCGCUAACAGAGGUUUUCUGCAGAUUAUGGCACUGGUGAUUUUGAUGUGGACAAGUCGGAAAAUCGUUGCUCGAAGUGCCCCAAGAUCAUUAGGAAUUACACGUGCCGCAAUAGAAAAUCUAAAGGCACGAAAUCUAGGGGGAACAGUAAUAGGCUGCGUUCUUUGAACAAUAGGGUAUGCGCGUUGCUCGUAUUUUGCAUGGUUAUCAUUUUAUCUUUUUUUUUAUAGUAGUAAAUUAUCAUAGUUACCGUACUUAUCAUAUAAUGAAGCAUUUUACUAAUGAUCUUGUUUGUUGUUUCUUUAGGAUGGCAGCCCCGGCGUACCCUCUUCUUGAGUCGGCUUACGACUUGCAGCACCGUGCCCACCACCUCGCGGAUCUAAAUGAGGUACUACAUCAGUUAUUAACAAUGGUUGCUAAUUUAUGCUGAUGAAUGCAUACCUUAGGAUGAUAACUGCAAGAUUUUCGUAUGAAAUGUUCUUACAAAUUGAGGAUGUGCCUGUCGUUACUAUUUGCUUGUGUACAAUGUAAACAAUUUCAUACUGAAAUGUCAUUUAUAUCAUAUUUGUGUUACUUACCACUUUAGUAGCCCUUGAUUCUCAAAUGCAUUGACUUCUCAUUUUUGUAAUAAUCUUAUAAUGUUUUGCAGGAUUUGAAACCACUCAGGGCUAAAGUGCACUCACCACUUAGGUAGGAUGAGCGGUACGUGGAGUACUUGCAGAGAGCUGGUUUUUGGGAUCUUGCUGUUCAGGUUGCAACACCGUCCACUGCUGCAGGUCCUAGCAGGAGAUCACGAGGCAAGGAACCCCCAUCCCCUCAGGCAAGCGAGGACUCUAAAGGUGAGCAGUCUGAGGAUGACGACCCUACAUAUGGUGAGGAACUGGAGAUUUCCGGCAUGAUCGAUGCUCCACCUAUGACUCAGACACAUCGUGAGUCCAGCUAGGUACAUUCACAAGUUUCCCCAAAUUCAAUUCUAGAUUGUUAAUGUUCACUCCCGAAGUGUCAUACAAAUAUCCAGAUCUAUAUAAAAUGGUCAUCAAACAUAUGAUGUAUGGUCCUUGCGGCAUAUUAAACAUAAAUUGCCCUGCACAAAGAAUCGAGCAUCUUGCAAAAACAAUUAUCCAAGACCAUUUAAUGAAACUACAAUUCAAGGCAAGGACUCCUACCCAUUGUAUAGAAGACGAAAUGACGG
rnacentral:lncRNA from 1 species